rnacentral:lncRNA from 1 species
GGGUCGAGGGGGAAUAGAAUAGCCAUUCUAUCGAACCAAAUAUGAUGUAAAUGGCAUAUGAUACCGGAAAUGUCACCCGAUACUCGGGUACCGGUUAAGUACAUAUUUGUAUUAUUAUUAAUAUUAUCAUUACUACUCUUUUUGUGAAAUAAUAAUUACAUAAUCUUGAAUUUAACUUGAUUUGAUCACAAAAUGUUAAUAACAUGAAUCUAUAUCAAUUUGAAUUUGUAUUAACCCAAAUUUGGAACUAACCUAAAUUUGUAAUUAUCUAAAUUCCAUACUCCAAAUGUUUCGUACUUGAAAUAAUUUGAACUUAAAUUAUCUAAACUUAUAAUAAAUCUACUCAAAAUGAAUAAAAAAAAAUUGAAACCCGAUUUGACUUUAUCUAGAUUGAAUACUAAUAUGAGAGAUGAGUUCAAUUUUAAAGCUUUUUAAGCCAGUAAAAUAUAUUUUUGUCAAAUUUAAACUUAAUAGUACUCAAUUUGAACAAUUCGCUAAUCUUAUCAAGUUUUCAUUUUUAAUAUAUAUUUUAAACAUUAUUUAUUAUGAAAUUAUAAUUUUACUUUUAGUAUAUAUUAUUAAUCUUAAGCUUAAUUAUCAAGUUAACUCGAACUUCAACUCAAACUUGAAUACACAUAAACUUAAUUAAACUCGAGUAACUCAAUUAUAUAUCGAGUCAAAUUCGAACCUUGAAUUUUGAGUUAAACUCGAACUUACAAGAACUCCAGCUAAACUCGGCAGAAUUAUAACCCUAGUCAUCUUUCUCGACUCACCAUGUCACCAUUGUAUAAGUCAAGUUAGGCUUUAUUGGAGCACCGCUAUGUCUUUCCUUCUUCAUUAAUGAAAAAUUUCUACUAAAAAUAUAUUUAUUGAGAAAUUCAAAGAAAAGACCUGAACUUUACACUUAUGUUCCAAAUUCAAACUCGACUCAACUUAAUUUGAUACAAAUUAAAAGGCUAAAAAAUACAAAGCCAAACUAAUUCAAACUCAUACCGACCCAAAAAUCAAACAACCCAAAUCAAAAAUAAAUUUGAAUCUGAAACAUCCCCAACUCAAAAAAUUCAAAAAAUCUGAAGUGAUCAAAACUAAAAUGAUCCGAUUCAACAAAUAAAAUAUUAUUGCAGCAUCUCAGCAGAAUCAAUUUAUGUACAGAAUAAAAAACUAAUCAAGAAGAAUAUAUGCAUUGAUAGUUUCAACAAAUAUUAUUUUUGUACUUAAAUUUAGAAAAAUAAAAAAGGUUCCCUUAUUACAUAAAAUUCAAUGAACAAAAAAAAGAAAGAAAGUAUUUUCUAAUUCAUUUUCUCCCUCUAAAACCAUGUGAUUUUUUUCAAUAAAAAUACCUGAACCACAUGGGUGUAUUUUGUUUGUAAAGGAAAAAAACGAAAAAAAAGAAGAAAGAAUUGCUUGGAAAGCUUAUAUUUAAAAACCCGAAUUUUCACCAAUAAAUUAAAAUAAAAACGACUACGAUUUACAACUUUACAAACUACUACCAGAUACUGGAUCUCCCCGCAACCGUGGCCUGAUGACCAAACAACUUGCAACUAACCCGGGCCUCUCUUAGAUGAUCUUGAAACAGCCCGGUUUGUGUUCGAUGUUGGGAGCUGCCGGGGUUCUUCAGCUUUUGGCCCAUCCUGCAUAAAGAUCAGGCGAUGCCUAAAACCAGUUGACAUGUAUAGAAAUACAAUCUUCUAAAGACCCUCAAAAUGCAUGCAGAUCUUCGAAACAAUUGAACAUACCCGAAUCCAAGUUCUAAUCUUUUACAUUAUUAACAAAUUACCGACAUAUGUAACAAGCAACUCGUAUACCUUCAAUAAUGAGUUGUUUCGAGAUUGUGCUUGUGAUUUCGCAAGCAAUCGGUGUUGUCGUUGAAUUUGCUCAAACUGUUCCAGCCACAAAGUAAAAUUAAUGUCGUUUUGUACAUUCCCAUUAUUGAGGUUUUUGUUACCAUCCUCAGUAAUUUGGGAUGCACCGUGAUGGGAGUAUGGGUUGCCUGACAAUGCGUGCUUGAGUUGAUCACCAGCAUUGAAGGAGUAUGUUGGGACAGUUUUUAAACGAGUUUGCAAUAUCUUGAAUGCAGCACUUUGCUGCAGUUAAAUAAGAAAGACAAAUAUAAUGAUGAAAUAUUAAUCCCGAUGUGUAUAUGCGCCAAUUUACCACGGGCAUGAAUAAACUUGAGGUUUCCCUUAUACCAUAAAGUCGAGUUCCAUUGUUUUCAUCAAGUCGAGUUUACACCAAAAGUCGAUUUUUAUUCAGUUAGUUCGAGGGAGUGAUGCCUAGAAAAGAAAGGAUAAAGACAUACCUGAGGAAGUAGCAUCAAAAGACCAUACAAUGCUUUCAGCAACCAUACAUAUCUUCCGGGUUCAAGAAGCUGGAAAUAGAGAAAACAACAGACCAAUAACAUAACGGAUCUUCUAAAAUCAAAAGACAAAAAUGGAAAAUAGAAAUAAACCAAUUACUUAGAAAAAAAUGCAACUAUAGUUACAAUUAAUGUAUUCAACUAUGCUAUGCUUGGAAGCAUGAAUUUGUAAAAUUGAAUUCGGUAUUCAUUUGUUAUAUAAAUUGUGAAAUGAAAUGCAUAUACUAUGUAUUAGUUAAGAGAUUCAAUAUGAUUCUAUUUUGAAAAGUAUAAAAUCAUGAAUUUCAAAAUCAUAAAUAUUCAUAGAUUUGAAAAAUAAUCAUGGAUACUACAUUUAUAUGUGUUUUACCACAGAUUGUGAGCUAUUAAAAGUAUAAGUUCAUAGGGCAAGUAUUUAUAAUCUAAGCACCUGCAAUCUUAGAUGAGCAAAGAUCGGGGUUUCAAGCAAACGAAUCAAUUUAUCAAGCUGAACCAAGAAUUUGACGUUAAUAUCUUCCUCAACCAGGGACUGAAUCACAGCACUCGCAUGCGGAUACAUCUAUCAAGCAAAUAAAUACUUAUAUUAAUAACCAUAAAAGUAUAUGGUUCAACGUCGCAUCUCCUCACCUUAGCCCAUAACACAAAAAAAGGAGAUAUUGACAAGCAAUUUAAAGGAGAUAGUUCCUUACCUGAGCUAAUAAACAGAGACUUAUAAUUGCCAUUGGUGAAUGGCUCCAUGAAGCAUACAAAGCAACAAAUAAAUCUUUUCCAGCAGCAUUAGCCAGUGACUGUUUCAAAAGUUUCCGAAUCUCAGACAGCUCAGAAGAAGUGAGUAGAAUUAAAUUCAAUGCCUGAAACACGAGAGAAGCAAACUUAAAAUCUGGUGCUUGAUGGAAGUAACAAAGCUAAAAGUUAAUUACUUACUUUAUUUUAUAACUCUAAUAGAAGAGCAUAAUUGCAAUAGUUAAAUUCUUAAAUAUGUGACAGAACCUGAACCAUAAUGCAGGCAAAUUCUAGGUCUGCUUCUCCCUCUAGUAUGGAGGAUAGCUCACGGUAAACCCUUUCAGCAUCCAAGAGAUCACAAAGUCUACGUAUUAUCAAAGCUCCACGCCUAAGGAAACAGGGACAUGAUUUGCAAAAGAAAGAGGUGAGACAUUUAUACAUAAUUAAAAUAACUACAGCUAGUUGGCCAUGUAGCCUAAAUGAGAGAUAAACAGCCAAAAGAAAAAAAAUCGUAAUAAAUUUCAAAAAGGAAAAGAAAAGCACUGGGGCUUGAGGGGACUAGAAUCACCUCUCCAGGAGAGAAUGAUCGAUCCGGAAAUUUUGCACUAGAAAAACAACAAGCUGGCUGAAAUGUUGGGGAUCUUGUGCUAUGCAUGCAUGAAUGUCAAGAACUAGGAGCACCACCUGAUAGCAAAAUCCAGAUUGCAACGUAAAUUAGUAUAUACAAACAAGAGCAUUUUUAGGUUAACACCACACAGACACACAUGUAACACAUAUACUAAUAACGAGAAAUUUAUAGAAAUAGUUGGAGCCAAAAAUCAUGAAACCAAAUAUUAACAGUUUUAAAUUUUAUGUCCAAUGACAGUUAGAUACGUCCAACAUAAAAACAUCACGCCAUUUAAUACAUGGCAAAAGAAGUAAGAACUAAGUACUAGUACUAGUGACUAAGAUGCUCCGAAUAUAUUCCUAGGAAGAAAAUUUCCCAAGCAUUGUUCGAUUAUCAUCCAUUCAGCCUAUAGAAGGACAAUUAUUGGAGAUAAAGAGAGCAGUAUAAGCACAGCAAGGAAUGAAACAAACAAAAAAACUCAAUAAUGAAUGUUGAAAAUAUAUAGACUAGCAGUAACUUGUGCCAAACUAUCGAAAUAUACUGUCAGAGGGAUUGAGACAGAUGUUUUUCUAACAAAAAUAAAGCAAAAAAACCAGAAGGAAACAAAGCAAACUAAUUGCGUCCAAGAAAGAGACAUCAUACUGAGAGUGAAAUAUAGUGAUUCUUUAGGCUCAAUGUUUUGAAAACAACUGAUCCUUAAUCCCCAAUUCCUUCCAAAAGAGAGAGAAGAAAGAGGCGAUAUGGACAAGGAAAACCUCUUGCAAAGGCAAGUCUCUAUCUAAGUUCAUAGGAAGGUAAGGAUAUUGCCAGCUGGGUUAGCUAGUUUCAGUAUCACCAUUCAAGAAACAAAUUAAAGGACAUAGGGUUCAUCCUAUUGAAUUAUAGCGAUACUAAGACACAGAACAAGAAUAAAGAAAUGAAACAAAACAAAACCCUUCAUGGAACAAUUGAAUAGAAAACAUUUAAGUGGCAGCAGAAAAUCACCUCAUCAGAAGAGUCAGCUAGAGCUUUCAAAAGGGUGUCAAAUAUGUCAUUUAGAAAACACAAUACCUGUUUCAGGUUAAAAAAAAAUUAAGCACCAUCUAUAUUGGAGUAAUAUUGGCAUAAGAAAUAGCAAUUGGUUAUAAACUUCAAAUUUCAGACUUUAAAAUGAGCUUAUACACUUCUUACUUUGCUUUAUAUUGAAAUUAUCAUGCCUUUACACGGGAAAUCAAGACUUUUUAAUACACAAAUAGAUUUCAGGAAGCAGCAUCAGAUAUGCUUCCACCAAACAUGAAAGCCAAAUAACAUAUGGAAAGAUAUGAGAUUUACCCAAGAUAAUGAAAAACUAAAAUAUCAUGCACACCACCAGAUGUAUAUGAAAUAUACAAAUAACUGCAUCAUCACCUCAGAACGAUGUCUGUCUAAAAGGGUUGAUAUCCAGUGUAACGCUUCAAUUCUCGUGGCUUCCCACUCACUAUCCAGUUGCCUGUCAGUCAAAAAUAUAGUAAUUACUAUAAAAUCAUUGUAAGAUGAAAUUAUUUCAGAAGCAAAACAAGUCUCAGUUUUAAGCACUUUUUGUUUAUAGCUCUUCAAAUUGAGAAGAGAUAUAUAUAGCCAGUUUUCAGGAGCAAAGUGCAAACUGCUAGUAACAUUUCAAACCUAGCAUUUUUCCCAGGUAACAAAAACUACACCUCCUUGCAAUGGAGAGAAUGGCUCCCACAUUAAACGCUUCUUCUGGUUCACCCUUGACUGAACGAAGCUCCUCAUUGGUUUCACGAGCAAACUAAUAUUUGAAACACACAAAAUUAUCAGAGGAAAGAACUCGCAAUGAGUUUCUAAAAGGCAUUGCAGAUGGCUAUUUAAGACACAUUAAGGAGAAUACAGAAGACAAAAGCUUACCCCUCUAAUUUUCUCUUCUUUAUCAGACAUGCAGGGGAGAAUGGCUCCGAGUAUGUCAGCAUAGUAAGGAACAAGCUGGUCUCCACCAAGUUUUACAAACUCAUUUAUCUGUACAAUGAGAAAAUCAAAAUGUGAAAUUACCAAAUUAAAUAAUUAGUUCAUGAAUAGCAAGAAAAAAUAAAGAAUAUCAUGUUAUUGACAAAUAUAUUGACAAGGGGAAAAAUCCUUUAUCAAGAUUAUUUUCCUUUUUCUGCUUUAAAAAUCUUCUCCCAGAUAUGGUAACACAAAGUCUAACUCUACUUACCCAAGUCAUAGCUGUUAACCGAGUGAAUUCAUCAGGAGAAGCAGCCCUUUGCACCAGUAUUUCAGCCAUGCGACCAUAAUCUACAGACUUCAAGAGAAGCACUGCUCGAGUCAGAAAAUUAAAAAUGAACAAAAUAUUUUCUUUUUAAGACAAAUACUUUGGUAAACGAUAAAUAAUAACGCAAAACUUCUUUUAUAAAAAAUCUUGAGGCGCCAAUCAUGCCAUUCCCAUAAAGAUUUGUGGAAAAGACAACAAUGGCAUAAGAAAAUUAAAAACAAGUGCCCAUGAAACAAAUCCAGCAAGCAAAGAAAAAAAUAAGUAUAAGUCUUACUGGGGAAUUCUUGAUCUCUUGGAGAAACUCAGAAAGUGCUGAAUCAGCUUGUUGCCGUAUUUCAUGACUGGAAUCACUUAACAUAUUAAACAAACCUGAAAGUUAUUAACAGCAAGUUAAUUAAAACAAUUUCUCCUAGAAAAGUAGCGGAUUAAUUUAAAAGACUGUAACUUAAUUACCAUCAAGAAAAUCAGGUAGGAAACCCAACAUGUCAAUAUCUGGAACACUGUCCAGUACAGUUAUCCAUCCAACCAAAAACUGACGGACAUAGGGAUUCAAGACAUUCAUGCGUUCCCUCAACAAUGGUAUAAAUUCUUCAAUACUGAAGACAGAAAACAAAUCAAUAACAUUAAAAGAUUUUGUUCCCAAAAUAUUUGAUCAAGACCUAUAACUAUGACAAGAUUCAUAGAGCACAAUUGGAAGGGAAUAAAGCACACCUGAACUGGUCACUUUCUGUAACAAUGUCCUGUUUCACAUGGUAAAACAGGAGUAAUAAAUCCCAUAUUCACAUAGUUACCUAGAUGCAAAAUUUAAAUGAGGAAGCAAUUAUUAACCUUCACUAGCCUAUCUAAAAGGUGAGCAGCACUCUGCACAUUGGCUGCAGAAUCAGCUGAUAGCUUGCACAAAGCAUCAAAUAUCUGAUUAAAGAAUAUGAUAAAAUCUCCUCGGACAACCUGUACAGCAGAAAACGGCAAAUCCAGUCCACCAUCAGUCAAGAAAGCAAGAGACAAAAAAAUUUAAUUUUAUAAGCUAGCCAAUCCCCUUUCACCUUUGCAAUGUUAUAUAGAGCUUCACAAGCAUAAUAACGAACUCUGCUAUCUUGGUCAGAAAAAGAAUUAAGCACUGGUGGCACAAUUUGCUGGUAGAUGCAUAAAAAGCAAAUUAAUCACUAAGAAGAGAGAAAGCUGAGAAAUAACUGACACUUAUUAAUACUUGAAAAAAUAAAAAGCAAUCAUCAGAUGUAAGAGCAUCUAAUUACUCUAGAAAUGGAAACAGUGUUCUAUCUCAGCGAGUUAUGAAAACAGUGCUUAUGAGAGGAACAACCAACAAACAAUUUGCAUCUAAUGACUUAAUCACGAGGUCUAAUUCAAUCCUUGUAAGUGUUUCCAAUUCUAUACAUGUUUCUAAAAAUGCCACGGUAAACGUUAUUCUAUACAUAUGUCAAAAGAAAGGUAUUCAAAGGCAAACUACUAAUCCAUACUUCAAGAUGUUGAGAGGCUUCAGAAGUCAACCCAACAGUAGCAGCAGCUAAACCUAUCAAUCCUCCCUACAUAAACACAACGCAAAAUUUAACAAAACUGACCUAAAUUUAAAAUUAAAUAGAUAGGAAAAUCUCAUACAAAUUAAAAAUGAUUCAAAAUUCUGAAUAUGAUUCAUUAUCCACCAACCUUACGGUGAUUAGCUUGUGGCGAGUACGUAUACUCAGUGGUCAACAAACUGAUCACCGCCGAUAUCUUCUCGUGAUCUCCUAAAGCCGCUAGCUGUUUCACAAUUCCUUCAACCUAAAACAUAGAAAUAUUAAUAUUCAAUUACGAUAACAAAAAAGAUUAAGAAAUUCAAUUAUCAAAACAUCAAAUUCCAAGGAAAUUCAAAAAAAAAAACCUCAAGUGCCGCAUUCUUCCGCUUCUCGUAAAGCUUAUCGGAGAGAUUACGGAGAACGGAGGCGGGAACCACAGAGUGCGCGUCAGCCAUAACAGAAUCUUUUUUCAAAAAUACAAAUACAUAAAACAACGAAAGACAAACUUAUAACAAAAAUCCUUCAAUUAAAUCAAAUUCGUUUCCUGAUCUUUUCAAAUUCGAAUCUGAACAUAACUUUCUAUUUUUAAUUUGAAUGAGAAAUCAGAUCUGAUGAAAUCAAGAAUAUGCGUAGCGGUUAUUUUUUUGUCAAAAGGCAAUCGGAUUUUCUAUUUUCUUUUUCUUUUUUUGUAUUUCAUGAUUAUGUGAUUUUUAAAAUAAUAAUAAUAAUAUUGAUUAUGUUGGGUUUGGAUAAAAAAGAUAAAAGAGCACUGCAAGUGACAUGUUAACGAAAUGAUCAAAUUACUCUUUUUAAGGGUAAAUUACCGAUAUUUUCUUAACUAUUUGUAUUUUUUUUUCGGUCACUAAUUAUGAUUAAUUACAAAAUGUUUAUUCAAUUAAUUGAUUUUUUUUGGUCACAAUGGAUGAUGGGAGAAUGAUGUGGUGGUUUUUAAAAUUGUUAUAAUAGCAACUUUAAUGCUCAACAUUAUAUAUUAUAUCAAUUCAGUUUUGAUUCUAAAAAAUUAACCCUCAAUGUUUACACACUAUAUAAUUUGGUCCUUUUUUUUCCAAUUUUUCAUUUCUUUUGAGCCUUCCACCUAAAAAACUAAAUCUAUCAACUAAAUUUGAUCGAAAAUAUACUAAAAAUAAAAACACUCGAAAGUCCAAGAUAAUAAUUUUCAUCUUUUCUCAUUCCUUUAAAAUUAACUAUCAAUAUCACAAAUAAAGUAAAAUUGAAAAAAGACAAAAAAAGAUUGCACAAUGUAUAAUGUUGAGAGUUAAUAUUUUUGGAAUCAAGACUAAAUUAAUAUAAUGUAUAAACGUUAAGAGCUAAAGUUAUUAUUAGGUCAAUUUUAAAAGUUGCUAAGUUAUGUUUCUGGUAGUAAUUUAACUGCGAGUGACCAAAAAAAAUUUUGAAUAGUUAAAUAACUAAAAAAGAAAAUUUUAAAUAGUUGAGUGAUUAUUUUAUAAUUUUUUAUAAUUAGAUGAUUAGAAAAAAAAUACUAAUAGUUGAGUGAUAGUGAAAGUUUCCAUUUUUUAUUGUAAAGUUUAGCCAACGUGAUUGAGUCAAAUGUUCUUAAGGGUAUACUUGGAAUUCCCUGUAGUAAAAAUGAUACUUUUUAACUUUUUUCCACCAAAUUCUCUAGAUUAUAGACAAAAAUAUUUUCUCUAAAUAAAAAAAAAAUCUUCAUACAACUACUGUUGUAAACCUAAAAGAAAAUUUGAAAGAAAUAAAAUAUUUAACAGAAAAAUAAGAUAAAUAUUUUAAAAAAUAUAUAUUUACAACAACAAAUUAAUAAUUAUCUUUAAAAAAACCCGUGAAUAAAAAUCACACUCGGAUAUUUUGUGCACUUCUUACCUAAGAUUGAGCCAAGUCAACAGUUUGUUUAAGAUAAUAGGUUGAAAUUUGUCAUAUAUGUACGUAAUUUUCAAGAAUUUACUACUUAUUUUUUUAUUUUUUUAAAAUUUAAAAUUAAAAUUCAAUUAUUAAUAUUAUUAAUUUUUUUAAAAAAUUAAAAUAAAACUUAAAAAAUUAAAAUAAAACUCACUCAAUAGGAAUGCUAUUUAAAAAAUUGAAUAAAUUACACUAAUAAUCAUCCGAUUAUUAACAUUUUGUUUUUGAUCAGCGAACUAUUAAAAGUUACAGAACGAUCACUUAACUAUUAGAUUUUGUCUUUUUAUAAGAUUAAAAUAUAUAGAAGGUCCUAUAUUGUAAGGAUUGAAUCAAAUUAGUCCAUCUAUUAUUAAAUGGAUCAAUUUAAACCUAUAUUAUUAAAAAGAAUCAAAUAAGUCCAAAUUGCUAUAAUUAAAAUUUACAUUAUAAAAAAUUUCUUGAAUUCUUUUUUCAAUUACAAAUUAAUUUACAGAAACAUAAAAACUUUAUAAAUAUUAACUUUGUUAAACAGUAAACGUUAACUUUAUUCCAAUUUGAUCUUAUAUGAUUUUUUUUUUAAUAAUACAUGUACUAAAUUGAUCCAUUUAAUAAUAAAAGGACUAAUUUGAUCGGGUCCUAUAGCUAACGCUUUUGCGCUUUCCUUCGCCUCGAUUGUGCCUUCUGCCAUUUCUUCUUCGGAACCAACUUGCUCUUUGGUUUCAACUUCAACUCCGGCGAGAACUUAUAAUUUGGAUCCCUCAUUCGUGCUUGAAUAUCCUUGAAAAACUCCAUAUUCAAUUUCUUAGGUCCUCCUUGUCGAAGCUCCUCAUAUUCCGGUCCCGAAACAAUGUUCUCAAAUGCUCCUAUUAAAAUGUCGAUGUCGCUCAUCACUUCCCAAACAUUCGUAUAUCGCCCGUCCGGUCCUUUCUUGAGUUUCUUCAAGGCGUUCUCAACUGCUAGUUUCCUUGCUUUCUUGCCCGGUGAUAGCUCCUCGGGUUCUUUUUCAGAUUUCAGUAGCUCCGAGAUGGUUCUGUACUUUGGUUUUUCCUCGAACUCGAAAAGUUUAUCAAUGUACUUAUCGCUGGAUUCGUUAGGAUAAGGUUCAGUAGGAAUAUCAUCGUCGUCGUCACAUUCACUGCCAGUCCAUAAUGUCUUUUCCUCAUCACUCCCAGACCAUACGCUUCUUAACUCGUCACUGUCAUCGGCAUCGAUUAGCUCGGAAUGAUCUUUAGCUUGCUGUCUGGCUUUCCGUAUCUCUCUUUCCAGACGGUUUCGAUCAGUUUUAGAAUCUAUUUCGUCAUUUUCAGGAUCACUUUCAUCUUCACUGCCAGUCCAUAGGGUCUCAUCUUCAUCCAUCUCUUGUUGCCAAGCCUUCCUGAAAUCUUCAUUGCCGGGUGUUUUGCUCCCAAAGAGAUCGUAAUGUUUACGCCCUUCUCGAGCAUAUGAUCGGAAUACUAGCAAACAUUAAACAAUAUCGUGGUGAGCAUACAGUUGGUUCGGUAGGUUCAAUUUCAAAGAUUUGGAAACCGGUUAAACCAAAUUAACUUACAAAAUCAACCAAACUAACCGAUUCAGUUUUAUUUAUACUAAAGGUGAUCAAUUUUAAAAACCGAUAGCCAACCAAGCUAAUCAAAUAAGACCAAUUCUCAAAGCUGAUAAAUUUCAAAACCAACUAAAAUUGAAUCAAAUUAACCAAAUUUGAUCAUGUGUCAUGGUUCGGUAAAUGUACCAUAGAGUCGGAUUACAUUUUGCCCCCUCUAUUAAAAAAUGGGCAAAUUAAUCCUUAUAUAUUAGAUCAAAGAGUAAACUAGUCCUAUUAAAAAUUUCAUCCAUUUUUACUGUUAAAAAUUGGUCCAUUUAUGUCUAAAUUAGGCACAUAUGACGCGCCAUGCGUAAUUGUUUGGUUAUUCUACCAGCAACACCAAUUUUUAACAAUAGAAACGGAUACAAUUUUUAAUAGAAAGGACUAGUUUGUUAUUUAAUCUAAUAUACAAAAACUAAUUUGCCUAAUUUUUAAAUAAAAGGGGCAAAAUGCAAUCUAACUCAUAGCACAAAAGGCCUCCAUGGCACUUUUACUGUAUGGUUCUUCAAAAGGAAUAUAUAUAAAAAAAAUACCAAUUAAAAGAAUAACAUAAACCAUGUAAUUUGAACCUAUCAUAUUUCAACCUCGCAUGAAAAAACCAACUCUUAGCACAAAGGGCAUCCAUGGCACUUUUACCGUCAUGUUUCUUCAAAAGGAAUAUAUAAAAAAAAAACCAAUUAAAAGAAUAACAAAAACCAUGUAAUUUGAACCUAUCAUAUUUCAACCUUGCAUGAAAAAACCAGUAUGAAAAAUAUCUAUGAAGGGUCCACUUAAGAAUCCUCACUCAUCUUCUUUGUGCUGGUACUUUUUACAAACAUUGACUACAUUCCCAUUUUUGUAUCUAGCUCAAAAUAACAACCUAAACAAAAGACUAACGGGUUCUUCACAUACAUUCAAGAGAUAAUAUUCAUGAAACGGGCAUCACAAAAAUUGAGAUUUUACACGUAAAAUAAUAGAACCACUGUCUGUUUAUACUUUUUACAAACACAUUGACUACAUUGCAUAUCUGCACAUAAUUCAAAAUAACGAGCUAAACAAAUAACUAAGGGCUUCUUAACAUACAUUCAAGAGAUAAAAUUCAUAAAAUGGGUAUUAGAGAAAAUGACAUUUUAUGCGUAAAUGCAUAGAAACACUUUAUGUCAAUACUUUUUACAAACACAUUGACUACAUUGCAUAUUUGCACCUAAUUCUAAAACAAAUAACUAAUGGCUUCUUCACAUACAUUCACAAGACAAAAUUCAUGAAACGGGUAUAAGAAAAACUGAUUUUACACGUAAAUGAAUAGUAUCAAUCGGUUUAAAAAAAGAAAAGCAAGAAUAUUACCUUGAAAAUUAGGGUAAAACCCGCCAUUAAGAUGACUUGUUGAAGAGCUUAGCAAAGGAUUUAAAUGAGAUUCUGACCUGCAAACAAAUUGGGUUUUAUUUUCUUUUUAUAUUUUCAUUUAAAUCUCAGAUUUUCAGGAGAAAACUAAAUAUAUAAAGAGUUAAAUAAAGACCUUGAAAAAGGUGGCGGUGGUGGCAGCCAACAGGGUUUCGGAAUUCUGAAUAAAAAGAGGCGGGAACAAAGCCUGCGAGCCAUAGUUCGCUACAAGGCGGCAAAGCUAAUGCAAACCUAAAUAUAAAACAAUAUGGUUUUUAUCAAAUGGUUCGGGUUAUCCAAUUCUGCUUAAGCAGCUUUGACUGUUUGACAAUGUGAAUUUUUUUUCGGGUCAGACUGAUGUGAUCCGAAUUAAAAUUUUAAUAAUAAUUCACUUUAAUUACAAAAUAUUUUUGGAAUUUUAUUUUUUUUAGAAUAAUAAAAUUAAAAUUUUAAUAAUAAUUCACUUUAAUUAAAAAAUAUUUUUGGAAUUUUAUUUUUUUAGAAUAAUAAAAAAAAUUAUUUAAAUUAAACUGAAGAUCCCGAGAAAAGAAUUUUAAAUUAAAAUAAUUAAACCGAUCGAUUUUCUUAUUAAAUGGGGUCAAGUUCGUUUAACUUAAACUUAUUUAUCGGUCAAACUAUUCCUUUAAGCUUGAAAGUCUAUCUAAAAUUUAGAAGAAUUUGAACAAAAAGAAAAUAUUGAAAUUAACUUGAAUGAGCUCGAAUAAAUAUUUUUGAAGAUUUAACCUAACUCAAAAACAUGUUUUAAUUCAAAAGUUAAUAAAUUAACUUAAUUCAAAUUUUAAUGUUUUUAUUUUAAAAUUUCAAUUUAACUUUUUUUACUAAAAUUUUGGACAAGAAAAUAUUGAUAAAAUUACAAAUUUAAGUUUAUUUUGGGUAUUCAUUUAGAUAAAAUAUCUAAAAAUAAUUAUCAUUUUUUACAAUAAUAGUAACAAACAUUUGUUUUUGCUUUUUCCUUUAUAUUUAUUUUCCUUUUUAACUUGAUAUAAUUUUGGUUUCAAUAACUUGCUUUUAUUUAAUAUUAAAAUUAAAAAAAAAGAACAAAUAAAAACAAGUACUAGUGAGAUAAUUUUUAAAAUAUAUAUUAAUAAAAAUUAAUGAUGCUCUAACUAUUUUUUUUUUAAGUAUUCAAGACCAAUGUAUAUUUGAUCAUAUGUAUGAAGUAUAGACCAUUCAUAAAUCCUUCAAGUCUAAUAAGUUUUAACUUAAUUGGUAUUGAUAUUGUAGAGAGCAGGCCUAUGAGUAGUUCUAAAUAGUGUAAAAAAGAGUAGAUAUAAUCAAAAACUUAUAAUGAAAUUGUUCAAAAUAAAAUCCUCCAAACAUAAGAAAAAACUUAAAAACUUAAACAAACUCAUAUAUCAAGCACAUACAUGUACCCGAGACCAAAUCCGCUUUGGCUCCAUUGCCAAAUAGUCCAGAGAAGAUCUUCAAGUAGUUUAUAAAGUAGAAUUUUUCAUGAUUGAAAUGAUUUUCCAUGCAAGUUUUUCGUCAGCCACUGACCAAUUACAACAAAAGAACACUGAUUCCGAACCAUUCUGAAGACUACUAGAUAAUCUAUGAGGACAAUUAUCCGACGAACAAACAGAUACACGGAAUGAUUCUACUUGAAGUUCUUCCCCUAAAUCCAGUAUGUUACCUUCGGAAAGUUCAUCCGAUAGUAUCAUUGAUAAUCGACUAAUCAAAGUGCUUUUGUCAAAACCGCAGAGCAUAUGGGAAGUGGAAGAGAGGUCUUCGGUUCGGGCCAUAGGCAUUGGGAUACAAUAAGCAAACUGAAUCUCAUGCUUUUUUUCUCCCAACAUAUGUAGAAUCUCAUCUUGGUGUAUAACUUUUGCCUUUUUGCCUUUUUCGACUACUAAGAUACCUUCUGUAGCUCUAUCAUCACUUACGGAAAGCCUUGAAACGGCCUUUGAUUUGUUUGAAUCCAAAUAAGAUUUAUCGGUUGAACUACGUGUUGAGAACUUGAAGUUUGGGUUCAAGCAACUUCGGAUAAAGGUACCUGAAGCAUCUGCUUUCACAUAGUGUGUCGAAGGAAUGGUGACUGUUUCAUUGUUUGCGGGACAAUAACACUGGAUCCCAAGUUCAGACUGAAUCCUUUCUUUAAGAGUGGCCAUUUUCGGCUUCUCACCAUGUACAAGUAUAGCAUGUUUGGGUGAGAGAAAUUUGACAAGAUCCAUAAUACCCUUGGCGUCGGUAUGAGGACUGAAAGAUAGCUGAUGAAUCUGCAACACAAAUCAUAUCUUCAGGCUAAUUACAACCAAAAUAUCCAUAUUAAAUAUUCACACCCAAGUCAAAAUAACAUAAAAAACAAUCAGAUUUCCGAACUUAAUAUAAAGGAUACCAAUAAACUUCGGUGCAAUCAAAACUAGAAUAUCAAAAUUACUAAUCAGUGUCGCCUCUCGGUCUUGCCAAAUAAGAGAAAAAACAGUGCAGGCUUUAGGUCAUUCGUAGAUUUCUGAACUUAAAAGACUUUCAUGUUUUUAAUAUUAAAUGCGACAUUACAUUCAAGAAAAUACUAGUUCCCUAUAUUAUAAGACGAGUUCCACUAAAAAGUUUUACGCUCAGCUGCCUUGUAAAAGACUCCUUUUUAUUUUUGUUCAUUAGCUGCUCUUCUUUUUUGGUAAAUCUUUACUCCAAGAGUUACAAAAUAAAAAAGGGGAGGGAUCCAAAACAAAGUCCACAUGCAUAUAAAUGAUUUUCAUUUUUAACUAACGGAGGGGACAGAUUUAAAAGCAGUAAAUUGCAGCAAUGAAAUAAGCUCAAAAAAGGUGAAACAAAAAGUUGAAGAAAAUGAGAUAAGCUUUAGGAGAUGAGAAUCAACCUGGCAUCGCACAUUGAUUUGAGUGUCCUUGUCCAAAUCAAUUUUGGUCGGUUUACCAGACAUUAACUUAUGGCCAAUGGUUCCAGCCACACAAUACCUACAAAAGGAGAAAAAUGAGAGUAAUAGAAACUCAAACAAACAUAAUUCUAAUGUGCAUAAUGCCUCUCAAGUAAGAAGGAACCGCAUGUGCACAUAAACACGGGAUAGACCAAUGUGUAUUACCAGAAGUACCCGUGUCCAACACAUUUCAAGGCAUGGGUAUUGGGAUAUGAAAAAAUAUACUCGUGUCAGACACAUACUUGUAUUCAGAACUCACAACCAAGUCCAAAUAACAUAGAUUUUUAUUCUCUUUAAAUGAGUUACAGUGGUUAAAUAUGAUAUUCAAACUAUUUAUAUGUUUCAUCUUAUAGAAGUAACAAUACUAGCAGCCAUUUAGGAUAUAUAUGCUUGAUAACGUAUAAGAAGGCCAUACCCAGGCAACGUCACAAGAUUGUUUUCUGAAGGCGCCCACUGCAUAAAAACCUCGAGUGAAAACCCACCAACAAUCAUACCAGGUGUAGCAAAGAGAACACAAGGUCCAGGAGCAUUUAUCAAAGAACGGUCAAAAUUCCGAACUGCAAUAGAUAGGCGCAGAAGAGUAGCAGAUGAAAUAUUAUCAUAAAAGAGAAGCAGUACCAACAACUCUACAAAUAAAUAGCUCAAGCAACUUUCAAUUUCCCUAAAAUCUCCAAGUUCUAUGAUUCUGCCUCUUCAAUUCCAGAAUUUUGAAAGGGAAACAAAUUCAAUCAAGAUUUCAAAUCAAACUAACAGCAUUAUUGACAGAAACUAAACAAAGUCAAAUAUCUUCAAUAGUAUUCCAAAUAUUCUAGAUUAACUACUAAAGAGCUUACUUACACAUGAUAGUCAUCCAAAAUGCAGCAUAGAAGGACCUAAUUGGAGGAUUAAAACUAUUAAAGGGUUUUAUUGUUACUUUCUUAUGCUUUAUGAGUUUCAUGGUAAUUUAUAUAUGUUGAGGGUCGGUUGGCUCCUUUGGAAGAAGUCAUCGAAAUGUCAUCCGCCAGGCAGCCAACCCGGUCCCCCAACAACCGAAGGUAUUGUCCCCAGCCUCCGCAAAGAGUUGUGUACAGUUUGCGGAGAUAAGUGGGCUAUAAGCCUCAAGUUGGUGGUUCAAGUUGCACUGUGCUCAGGUUGCUCAAUAAUUAUUCACACAACCAAUACUAACACCUCUCCCAAGUCUUGCAGGUACCACCAACUGAGGCACCCCCCUCAAUGAACCAUACAUGGCUCUCCAUGGAGGCUAGGGACAAAACCCUGACAUAGGGACAAUACCUUCGGUUGUUAGGGGACCAGGUCAACUGCCUAGCAGAUGACACUUCAAAAACUUCUCCCGAAGGAGCCAACCGACCCUCAACACACUCAGAUCUAUUUUCUGUCCCUAACUGCCAAUUAACUCCAAUGUAUAUAGAAACUGCUCAAAAAUGAAACCUAGCAAUGGCAGGAGCAAGGAAAUAAGUAACUGCUGCCACUCUUUAAUCAUUAUUUAAGCAAGCUUUGUACCAUUUUUAAAAUCAAAUGCAUUAUGUGUGGCGUACGUCUCCUUGAUCUUCUGGCUCGUCCAGUUAAUAAGCAUUUUAUAAUACAUAUUGGCUUGGAUUGUCAAACCUGAAACAUGAUGAAUCCAACUUAUCACCAUAAUAUGUAGUUAAUCUUCACCCAGAUCACCACAAUAUAGACUAAACAAAUGUAAGGUUCCACUGCUAUAAAAUAAGCCAAUAAAAAAGAAGAAGAAAAUCAAUGAUGCAAAAUGUUAAACACUAAAGAUGGAUCAAACCUGCUGAGAAGUAGAUAGGAACUUUUAGAUUCAUCCGUUCCCAGUAAUCUUCCAACAAUAUACAAAGUUCCUAUGUGAUGAUAUUAAUACAAAAUUGAAUAUUAAUCUAGAAAUCAAGUUAUACGGUAUCAAAAUAUUCAACAUGAAGGCAUCUAUGACUAGUCAACAGUAUAACAGUUACAAAUAACAAUAAGCAGCUUGAAUUGGAAUACUAUUUUUUUAAAAGAAACAGAGAUUGGCUGAGAAUUAUUGACUCCUUAAUAAAUCAACAAGAGUUAAAAAAUUAAAAGAAAACUGAUUUGAUAGAGUGAAUUGUUUGAACUUGUUUCCCUCAUGCUUAGUAGUCAUUUAAUAAUAUGGGAACUUUGAACAACUACUGGUCGGAUAAUUUUGGUUGCACGGCAAAUAUUUAUACUGCAGAAAAAUUAAGGAAAAGUGUGGAAAACAGAAAAUAGGAUUAUAGGAAAUGAUGAGCAUACAAUUAAACUUUACAGGCAGAAGCAAUUUUAUGUAGUUUUAUUUAUAGAAAAAGAACCCUUAAAUGCCAAGAAAAAAAAAUCUAAACAAAGUCAGUACAAGGAGGUCAAUAUAGGGAAAUAAUAUAUCUUAUGAUCCUAUUAUGAAUGAAAUCCAUAAAUGCGGCAGCUUUAAAUUCACAUAAAGGUUUGUCGUACAAAUUUAGAACUUAAUAAGCUACCUCAUUUUGUCUAGCGCCAAACAUAGUUAAGAUGCCCCCAGUAAUUAGAACUUUUGCUAACUAAAUAAUUUUAUUAGCUAAACAAAACAUAGCUACAACACAUAUAUAUUAUAUAUAAGAUCAACAGUAAUACCUGAGCUCUUCCUAGAGCAAAAGUAGGAAUAAGCACUUUUCCUCCAGCAGCAACACAAUUAUGAACCUGAAAUGAAUCACCACCAAACACCAAUGCCCCCCCCCCCAAAAAAAAAAAAGAUAAAAGGAAGAAAAUCAUUCCAGUAGGGUGUAACUUUAAAAUAAAAAGCACAUACAUAACCAAAUAUCUUCAUUCAUGAAAGUUGGAAGUACUAAAAUAAGGAAUCUUCACAGAAAACACACACAGGUAAAAUGAAACCAUCAUACUUUAACAUUUCUCUCUCUCUCUCUCUCUCUCUCUCUCUAGUCAAUCACCAAUAAAGUUUCUAGAACAAAUUUAAUAAUGCAUCUAAGAGAAUUCAGUUACCUAUUCCUAAUCAUCAGAACUUAAGCAACUAUCACCACUGUAUUCAAAACAGAAUUUCCUCCCCCACCCCCUCUUCCCUCAAAAAGGAACAAUUAAAAUAAAGUAAAUACUAUCAAGAUAACAUAGAAGAUAAUGCAAGAUAACAUGUAGAAGCAAACUGCAUGUGGACUAGAUACUCUAACUGCAGCAGGAGCAAGUAAAUAGUCACAAUGCGCAAAAGCAAAUUAAUUUUCAGGAAGUAGUGUAUACACAAGAGGUAUAAAUGAAGCCAAAAAAAUAGCCUGAAAUUGUGAAAGUAGUGUAUACAUACAGCUUUAAGGAACUCCCUUUCUCGCCCAUAUCUUGAAUCACGUAUGGUUGUUGCAUAAGUAGACCUGUUAUAGAAAUACUAUUAUGAACGUUUGCAUCACGCACUAAUAACCAGACUUCACUUGUUAAUAAAACCAAAGAUAAAUAUAAUAUGUGUAUAACAUUCAUACUCUGUUAUGAGAAGAUCCAACUGUAGUCUAUCAAUCUGAGCUGCCCCAAGAUGUCUAUCUGGCGUCAUAUUAUAAUCUCCUGUGUACACCAUAGCAGCAUCUCCCACCUUCGCAUAAAACAUUGCUGCCCCAAUAACCUUAGAACAACCAAAGAGAAUGAAAAACGUGUAUAUCCAUACAGUAAAAACUGGUAAAUACAUCUUGAUACCCAUAACUGGUAAAUACAUCCGAAAAAAGUAUCCAUUAAAAAAGGAGAUACCAAGUUCCUUUGUUCACCGUAAGUCCUCAGUAUUUAUAUUUUAUCUCCGGUUUCAUUAAUAAGUGAAAGUUUGGUUGUGGUGCAUGAUGCUCUGAAAGUUUAUAUGAUUGGAUUGAACCAUUCAAUGCCAAGACUGAAGUCAAGGUCAGGCCAGACUUUACUACUUGGUCCUAGAUUGCUCCUCUCAAACUAAAUGCUGCUCCUAAUAAUUUGCAAAGAUUUACUCAUAUGACUCCCAUAAAACAGAAAAUACAAUUACUUCAAGGAACAAAAACAACAGACCAUACAGGAUUAAUAUUCACAAAGUUCUCUUCUAGACAACCAUGCCACAUCAAAAAAGAACUACUGCCAUGCAAUUCAUUUGUCUAAUGGGCUACAAAGCACUCAAUGAGUUUAACUCAACCAGUGGUCCAACAUUAUUCAAUCAAUUCUUCCACAGCCCUCUUAUGACCAAAGAGCUAGGUAGCUCUGUCAAAGCAGAUGAAGUUUAACGGACACACAUAGCAAAUCUCCAAUGAUAAAUGUGCACCUUUCGUAUACUAAUGGAUAACAUGUAUAAGCACUACAAAAAUGAAACAGGACUAAUAAAAAGACAUGCUUUAGAACUGAACUUAAAAUGCUUACAUGUCCUGCAUAGUAGGCACGGAUUUGAAGAUCUUUAUCAACCUGCACAGUCUGCUUCAAAUCCACCGGUAUAACUGUAAUAAGGGAUCAGAUCAGAGUAAAAUAAAAAUGAUAACCUCAGACAGGAUACUUCAAGCAAUGAAUAAAAACUCGAAAGUUGGUCUUGCAUAGAAAUAUAUUUGUGAAUAUGAAAGAAACCUAGAUCAUAUAUUUAGGAAAUCUUCACAAUUCUAUUUUACUCGUUAGUCCAUAGAAGGUUCCGAUCUAAAUUUGAAAUUGUGAAACUUCAAAUAAAAUUAUAUAGAUGAUAAAUAGGUUCAAGUUUACCAGUUUUCUAAUCUACUAUUUAGAGCAUGUAAAUUCAGGAAGCUAAUAAUGAUCAGAGAUCACUAGUGUAAUGCUACUCAAGGAGAAGUCCUAAUGUCCAAAAAAUAAACUGAUAUCAUGCUUGAGUGCAUUUUCAGAGUAGUUAAUGUUCUGUUGUAGCUUGGUAACAAAUACAACAUGCAGUAUGGAACAUUAUCUGGAUCUAUCGUCAUUAAAAUGAUUGUCAUGAAGAUUGGAGAGGGUUCCAUGUUCUAAAAAUAGCAGAGUUAUGCAAAUGAUUCUUUUCAAAUUCUUUCCUUUUUUUUUAAAGAAAAAAAAAAGCAUCUGCACUAACUGAGCAAAAGAAAUGGAAAUUUAAGUACCCUUUUUCAUGCAUUCUGCAAUAUGAUCAGAAGUAAACUGUUCGUCCUCGCCCCUUCGGUCCAUAUUCUUUCUGUAGUCCUCCAACAUCAAAGGGGCCAAUGCUUUUGUCGGAUACUACCAAUACAAAGAAACGUCAUAAAAAAAAAGUAAAAUCAAAACAAUAAUUAUAAUAAAUACCCCAAGUGAGACAUUUCAUCAAAUGCAUAGACAAAGAGAAGUUACAGUCAUGUAAAUUGGACCCUUAUAACCGCAAACUUCAGUGAAAUAAGGAAGUGCUCCAAUAUGAUCCAAAUGACUGAAAAAAAAAAUUCAUCAAAAAGCCAAUCCAAUAAAUUAUCAACUGAAACAAACAAAGAGUAAACCGAAUGAAAGAAUACAAGUGAGUAACAAUGACACAGGUGAGAGCAUUAUCGAAAUCUCCAGUCUUAGAAAUGAGAGAGAAAUCUGGGUAUCGGCGAGAAUCAGUGUAUCCCAUAUGCAUCCCACAGUCGAACAUGAUUCGCUUGCCAUUUAUCGAGACCACCAUGCAGCUUUUCCCAACUUCUUGGCCUGCCCCUGAAAAUUUAAAAAAGAAAAAAGAAAAAAAAAUCCAUUUGUAUGUGAAAAGAACAAAAACAAAAAUGGGAAUUCAUGAAAUGGGAAAAUUAAAAAUUGGGUAGUGUUUAGAAGUUACCAAGGACGAGGCAAUCGAUCGCCAUGAUUGGAGUUAAUCGAGUUCAAAGUUCGAAGACUUGAAAAUUACUUGGUUGGCACGCUUUCCUGCAAUUAGCAAUGCAUUUUGGCGGGUGAAGAUUUUGUAUUAUUUUUUUUCCAUAAACUACAACAGUCCCUAAACUUAGUUUAAAAUUAAGUUUCGGUCAUUCAACAUUCAAAAGUUACCUAAUCCAAAGUUACGAGCUAAACAAAUAACUAGUGGCAUCUUAACAUGCAUUCAUGAGAUAAAAUUAGAGAAAAUGACAUUUUACACGUAAAUGAAUAGAAACACUUUCUGUCAAUACUUUCUACAUACACAUUGACUACAUUGCAUCUUUGCACCUAAUUCUAUAACAAAUAACUAAUGGCUUCUUCACAUACAUUCACAAGACAAAAUUUGGUUAAAACUGAUAUUUUACAUGUAAAUGAAUAGUAUCAAUCGAUUUAAAAAGAAAAAAGCAAGAAUCUUCUUUUGAAAAUUUGGGUAAAACCCACCAUUAAUAUGACCUGUAGAAGAGCUUAGCAAUGGGUUUAAAGGAGAUACUGACCUGCAAACAAAUUGGUUUCGUUUUCUUUUUCUCAUUUAAAUCUCAGAUUUUCAAGAGAAAAUCAAAUAUUGAAAGUGAAAUGAAAUUUGACCUUGAAAAAGGAGGCGGGAUUCUGAAGGGAACAAAGCCUGCGAGCCAUCGUUUGCAAUAAGGCGGCAAAGCUAAUGCAAACCGAAAACAUAAAACAAUCAAAUGGAUCGGGUUAUCCAUCCGAUCCGACCUUUGCCUGAUCCGAAUUGAAAUUUUAAUAAUGAUAAUAAUAAAUAAAUACAAUUUAAUUUUAUAUUUUAAUAUUUUGUGAUUUUUAAAAGGAAAAUUUUCUUAUUUAUACAUCAACUUUGGUAUAACAUGAACUUUAAUUGGAGAAAUAAUAAAUUUAGUCCUCAAUAUUUUAUGCGUUUUUUAAUUUACAUUUUUGGUAUUUUUAUAAUUAAUUUUUUAUUUUUUGAAGUUUUAAAUUUAUAGUUUUUUAUUUUAUUUCUAGAAUAGGAUCAAUUUGAUUAAUUGUUCAAAUUUUGUGAGUAAAACUUGUUGAAUUUUUUAUAAUUAGGAUUAAUUUGACAUAAUUUAGAAAAUGUUAAUAACUAAAUUUGUUAUUUAACCAAUCAAAAGAUGGCCAUGUCUGCAUUCUGUCUGGUGACCUAAAGUAUUUAAUGAUAAAAUGACUAAAGCUUACAACUUAUGAGUGAUUAAAAUAACGAUUUUUUUUAAAUGGGUGAAUAAAGUAAGAAUGUGAAUAAACUCGGUGACUAAGUAGUUUAUCCUAAAUUUUAACUUAAACUACUAAUGAGAUAAUGAUUGGUCUAAGAUCGAGGGUUAAAUUUUUAGCUUUUAAAGUAUAGGAAUUAAAUCUUAAAACUUGUCAAAAUACAAGGACUAAUAAAAUAUCUUGACCAAUAAAAUUAUUAUAAAUGUGUUAUUUUUAAAUAUAUAUGUAUAUAAAAUAUUUAAAAGAAAAUCAAUGGAAUAUUGAUUUUUUUAUAACAUGAUUCUCAACUUUCCUAUUUAUAUGAAGGAACAUAUAUGUAUUUAGCACGGGUUUUGAUCCAUGACCCGUAAUAAUAGAGUCUCAAAUUUGUUUUAAUUUAAUUAUGAUAAUAAAUAGGUUAAUUACACUGCACCUCUUCCAAAUUUAAAUCAAUCUCAAACUUUGAAAUACUCUAUUUGAGUCCUUAAAAUAUUAAUAUCAUAUUAAUUAAGUCUUUUGGUGCAUCUAAGCUUCAAAUUGGACAUUAAAUGUUAGUUUCAAUACGAUAUAAAUAAUAUUUAAAUCAUGUGAAACAAAAUUUAAAUAUAUCUAUAUAUUAAACUCUUAUUAAAUUGGUGUUUCGAGUUAAUUGAACAUCAACUCGGUUGGGUGAUUACCAAAAUAUUACUUUUUACAAUAUAAUUUAUAUUAUUUUGAAUGUAUUUAUACUAUAUACUAAACCCUCAAUUAAAUUUGUGUCACGAAUCAAUUAAAUAGUAACUUAAAUGAAUAAUGAUUAAAAUAUCAUUUUUCACAAAGUAAAAUUUUUUAAUAUUUAUAUAAGAGCAAUGAAAAGAAUCCAUAAAUGAUAGGAUUUGAACUUACGACGUGACGAUUUUCAAAAUUUUAAAUUUACUAUUUCAAUUUAAAAACAUGAAAAAAAAAACAAACUAAAUGAUACAUUUGUAUCGACAUUUGUUACUUUAUAAAAUAUAAGGUUGUUUUGUUCCCUAAAAAAAAUAAUAUUUUGGUAAUUUUCCAGUUAAAUUGAUAUUGAGUCGACUUGUAACACCAAUUAAGUCAAUGAUUUAAUAUUAGUAUAAAUAAAUAAUUAAAAUAAAGUAUUAAAAUAAAGUUGGUGAUAUGACACAUUUAGAGGUACAGUUGAAUUGAACUAAGUUAAAAUACUAUCAAGCUCGACUCGAAUUUUGAAGCUCGAUAUUGGGCUUGAUUGACCAUCUAUUUUUAGGCUCGAGAUAUAAUUGAGUUAAUCGAGCUUAAGUUCAAUUAAACUCAUUUAUCAAUUUUUAUACUCAAGCGAGAAGUCAAGUUUGAGCUUAAUUCAAUAAUUGAGUUUAAAGUUAAAGAUAAUGACGUAAUUUAACAAUAUAAAAAUAUGAAAAACUUGACAAGAUUCAUAGGUCAUUCUAAUAGAAUAUUAUUUAGUUCGAAUUCGGCUUAAUCUAUAACUUGAGUUGCUUAAACUUAACUCAAUAAUUACAAAAUUAAUUUAAAAAUAUUUACGAUAAACAAGAGUCAAAUUUGAUGAAUUUUGACUUAAGCAACUAAUUAUCUGAUUUAAUUUGACUUAAGUAACUAAUUAUCUGAUUUAAUUUGACUUAAUUAUCCACAAAAAAAUUGGGAUUUGAAUUUAAUAGAAUUUUGUUUUAAAAUUUAAAAUUAAUAAUAGUAAUUAUUUAAUUCAAGAAAGUAAUAAUUAUUAUUUUAAAAAAUAGACUAUUUUAAUAUUGGGUAAACUUCACUAAUAGUCAUUCGAUAAUUAAUAAAUUUAUUUUUUGGUCACCUAACUAUGAAAAAUUACAAAAUAGGCAUCUAAUUUUUCAAAUGUCUUUUUUGUCAUACAGUGGCUUUUUAAAAUUGGCACAGUUGUAACUUUAACCUUCAACAUUUAUAUAUUAUGUUAAUUUAAUCAUGAUUCAAAAAAUCUAACUCUCAACAUUUACACAUUAUGUAAUUUGAUAUUUUUUGCAAUUUUACUUUCAUUCGUGACAUUUUCACCUAAAAAGUUAAAAAAAAACUCUCAAUGUAAAAAAAAAAGAAGAAGAAGCAAAACUGCAAAAAAAAUCUAAUUACACAAUAUGUAAAUAUUAAUGGUUAAAUUUUAUUAGAGUCAAGACUAAAUUGAUAUGAUUUAUAAAUGUUGAGGGAUGAAGUUACUAUUAUAUCAAUUUUAAAAGUUGCCACUUCUAAGAAGAUGGUGAUCGAAAAAGGAAAAAUUGAAUAGUUGAGUGACUAUUUUAUAACUUUUCAUACUCUAGUGAGUAAAAAGAAAUUUAGUGACAGUUAAAUGACCAUUUUAUAUUUUUUUAUAGUUAAGUAGCAAAAAGAAAAAUUCACUAAUAGUCAGUGACUACUGGUGUAGUUUAACCUUUAAUUUUUUAGGACUUUCUCUUCAGUGUCACUGUAAACCGGAUUUAAAUCCACAAAUUAGAGAGAGAAAGAUAGAAAUGUACUAUUAUUCCCCCCCCCUCACAGAGCUCACUCUCUAUAAAUAUAUCAAAAUAUGUUCAAAUCAGCUAGAUUUCAACUGAGUUUGAAACCCUAGCAUUUGGAUCCAUUUCGAGUUGUAGAUGUGAAGCGAACUUUUCUCUUUGAACACAUAUUUCUUUUUUUGGUUGCAUUUUGUGCUGUAAAGUGGUGCGACUAAGUGUUUGGAUCGGAGAUGGAAGAGGUUGCCGGCGAAGCGGCGGAGGUAAGAACCAACGUGAGGAGUGAGUCGCCAAUGAGGAUGACGUCGGCCACCACGGCGGGUGUUCCUCCGUCGUUGACGGUCUCGGCGUCGUUUAGAGAGAGUGGAGGCAAAGGCUCGUCGAGGAGGAGAGGUGUUAGACCUAGCUUCGACGCCGAUAAUGAUUUUGUUCCGUUUCUUCACGGGUCGGAUCCAGUGAAGCUGGAGCUUACCAGAUUGGAGAAUGAAGUUAGAGGUGAUGAAUGCGGAUCGAUCUAGGUGUUUUUCGCCUUGAUUCGGUUAAAUUUGACUGCGUUUUACUGCUUUUUUUUUAUAAAUAUUAUCUGUUAUUUUAUUUUGAUAUUAUCCUCUUUGUUUUUGGAUUGGAUUACAGAUAAAGAUAGAGAAUUGGGAGAAGCACAAGCGGAAAUUAAGGCAUUAAGAAUGUCUGAAAGGCUAAGAGAAAAGGCUUGCGAAGAGGUUGGUUAUUUGUUUAUUUAUUUAAAUAUUAUUGGGCUUUAGUUUAUGUUAGAAAUUAAAUUGUACUGAUAGGUGAAGCGUUUUAGGAAUAGUCGAAAUUAAAACAGUAAUUAUUUAGAUUUUUUUAAAAAAAAUCUGAUGUUAAGGAUAGAUGUCUGAUCUUAGUGGAAUGUCCGCCUCUUUUUUUUUUCAUUAACGGAUUUGAGUUUAGGGGCAAAUUUAAGGUCUCUUUGACGUUAGAGAUUAUAUUACUGUUAUAGAAAUAAUAAAUUGAUAGAAGAUGGGUUGUCUACUCUCUGUAUUUUUGUGUGUAUUGUUAGGGGAGAGCAAAACUCGGUCAAAAUCAACUUAACCAACCUAACACUGUUUGGUUUAAUCGGUUUGGUUAGUUUGGUUUCGGUCUAUGUCUGUUAAAAAAAUCAGUUAUGUUACAUAUAAAACCGAAUCAAACAGAUUAGCCUAUUUAAUAUAAAUAUAAAUGAAAUAUAGUAAUAAUAUAUAAUAUGAAUUAAAAAUGCAGUAUUGUUAUGUUACCGUGGAAAAGUAGAUUUUUCUGAUUCUUGGAAAGUUGUUUCUAGUCUUUGAUGAUAAAGCUUACUGAAAUACAUCAUGCAUUGGUUACUUGGACUUGGUUGUGCCCCGUAUGUUCAAUUUUUUAAAGAUUUUCACAUAAUCUAGAACUUGUUUCAUGGUUUUCCUAUUACAUUAAUUGUUCUUUGUUAACCUUUUCCCCCCCAUAUUUAUCUACCGCGGUUUAGGGUUUGCUCUCAUGAUUAAAUGGAUUGUUUUGAUGUCUUGAAAUUCAGAUGGUUAAUAGACCUCCUUGUUUAAUGACUUACUAUUUCUGCAUAUAAACGUGUGGUCCGUAGUUUUGUUCCAAAAAAACAUAUUAUCUUUAUGUAAUUUACAACUCUUCUAUGCAGAUCAGGGCUCUUGCAUCUAAGACUGUAGUUAUGAAACUUUUUGCAGUGGUUUUAUAUACGAUCUUAUGACUGUUCGCCUUAUUGGACAGAUUUGAGAUGUGGUUUUACUUGGACUUCUUGAUUGAGAUGGAACUGACUGUUUUUAUUCUUCUUUUGUACCAUAGCUCGGUGACGAGCUCUCAAAAAUGGAUGGGAAGCUUAAAUUGACAGAAUCUCUUCUUGAAAGCAAGGUAUUGGUUUCAAUUCCUUUCAACCCUUAUUAUUUUUUCUUUUGUCGUGCUUCUAAAUUUAGUUAAUAAAUAUGUUCCACAGAACCUUGAAAUCAAGAAAAUAAAUGAUGAGAAGAAGGCAGCCAUGGCUGCUCAGUUUGCAGCUGAGGCCACUCUGCGGAGGGUUCAUGCUGCUCAAAAGGACGAUGAUAUGCCUCCAAUUGAAGCAAUUCUUGCACCCUUGGAGGCUGAGCUGAAGCUUGCUCGGCAAGAGGUAUUUAUAUGUCUUUUUAACCUUUGUUGCUCUGACUUUUCAUUUUUAUGGAAAUACCCAUGUCCAGCAUUCCUUUUAGAUAAAUGAAUAUGGAGAUAUUAUGACCUCCAAGGAUCUUCCUAAUACAUAAAAAACGAAACAUAGAAAAAUCUAACCUCAUCCGUGUUAGACACACAUGUGUGCCAGACCGUGACAUCUGAGUCCGAGUAACAUAGUUUUCAACUGUUGGUUCUGUCUAUAGAGAGAAGUGGAGAAGGAUCUCUAAACUUGUAUGUGAUUGAUUAUUUUCUUACUGGUUAUUUCUUUCGUUUUUUGUAGAUUGCAAAACUUCAAGAUGAUAAUAAAGCGCUUGAUCGUCUAACUAAAUCAAAAGAAGCAGCUUUACUUGAAGCCGAAAGGACUGUUCAGGUUGCAUUGGCCAAAGCGUCCAUGGUGGAUGAUCUCCAAAAUAAAAACCAGGAGUUGAUGAAGCAGAUAGAAAUUUGUCAGGUAUUCCGAUCAUUUUUUAUGUUUCCUGUUCUCAGGUCCAUAUAUUUUUGGCUUAGUCCGUUUAAGCGUAUAAUGAAGAAAGUCACUUGUUUACAAUUUGUCUAUGGUAGGAAGAAAACAAAAUUUUGGACAAAAUGCAUCGCCAAAAGGUUGCAGAGGUUGAAAAGCUUACACAAACCGUAAAAGAGCUGGAAGAGGCUGUUCUUGCUGGUGGUGCUGCUGCAAAUGCAGUUCGGGAUUAUCAACGGAAAGUUCAGGAGAUGAAUGUAAUGCCUGGAUUUUAUAUGUCCAAGUUUGCUUGAUUCCUUUUUGUUGGUAUUGUCCUAAAUCUCUUCUUGAAAUGAAUGAUUUGUGUUUAUGUUCCUUAGGAGGAAAGAAAAACUCUUGAUCGAGAACUGGCACGUGCGAAAGUAACCGCUAAUAGAGUGGCCACAGUUGUAGCAAAUGAGUGGAAAGAUGCUAAUGACAAAGUGAUGCCUGUGAAACAAUGGCUUGAAGAGCGGAGAUUCUUGCAGGUUUUUGCAGACGGUUUCUCCCAUUGAAUAAAACUACAAGAUGUUGCCUUAAUACUUUCUAUUCAUUGUGGACUUUAUUUCUUCCAGGGAGAAAUGCAGCAACUUCGUGACAAGCUUGCUAUAACCGAGCGAGCUGCAAAAUCUGAAGCACAGUUGAAAGUAAUAAUCUGAUUGUGACUUCACCAUUCUGUUAUUUAUGACGUUGCUGUUGGUUUCGAAAUUAGAGCUUUUGUUUGAUUUUCCAGGAGAAAUAUCAAUUGCGGCUUAGAGUUCUAGAAGAGAACUUGAGAGGAUCUUCUAACAGCUUUAGUCGCAGUACUUCAGUUGGAAGAAGCACGAGCAAUGGGCCUUCCAGGCGCCAAUCACUUGGUGGAGCUGAGAACUUCUCAAAGAUUUCUUCCAAUGGGUUUUUACCCAAGAGAUCACCGAGCUCUCAAUUGAGAUCCUCUUUGUCUUCUAGUACUGUGUUGAAGCAUGCGAAAGGAACAUCUAAGUCAUUUGAUGGAGGCACGAGAUCAUUAGACAGGGCUAAAGUGCUUUUAAAUGGAGCAGCCUCAAAUGUUUCAGUAAACCAUCCUUCUGAGGGGAUCAAGGAGAGUGAGUCACCGAGUAGUGAAAAAUCGAAUGAUUUCCAGCCAGUAGACACUGAGGACAAUGUUCCAGGAGUUUUGUACGAUUUGCUGCAGAAAGAGGUCAUAGCAUUGAGGAAAGCUGGUCACGAGAAAGAUCAAAGUCUUAAAGAUAAAGAUGAUGCGAUUGAGGUAGAUGCAUUUGCUCUUUCAAGCCAAUACCAUUUUUAAUUUAUCAUUCCAGAUAAAUACUGUAGUAAUCCUUGUAUCUUUCAGAUGCUUGCUAAGAAGGUCGAAACAUUGACAAAGGCAAUGGAAGUUGAGGCUAAAAAGAUGAGAAGAGAAGUUGCAGCUAUGGAAAAAGAGGUUGCUGCCAUGCGUGUGGAGAAAGAACACGAGAAUAAGGCCAAGCGGUUAGCUAACUCCAAGGGAUCGGCUGCUCAGCUGCUUACUGGAAGGUGCUUUUAUUGUUUAUAUCUUUGUUUAGAUUUUUAUACUCUUCAUUUUCCUUUAGGUAAAAGUAUUAGGAGUCGCAUUGCAUUUUACACCUUUUACUCAAAAAUAGGCAAAUUAGCUCUUGUAUGUUAGAUCAAAAAGCAAACUGGUCCUAUUAAAAAUUCUAUCAAUUUUUACUGUUAAAAACUGGUCGUUGUAUGUUAGCAUAAGUUAAAAACUGGUCUUUGUAUGUUAGCAUAAGGUACACAUGGCAUGUCACAUGUCAUGCCGGUUUUUAAUAACACAAAUGGAUAAAAUUUUUACUAGAAAGGACCAAUUUGUUCUUUGAUAUAACAUACAAGGAUUAAUUUACUCAUUUUUGAGUAGAGGGGACAAAAGGCAAUUUGACUCAUUGUGCAGGGGCUUCCAUGGUACUUUAACCUUUUCCUUUAGUACUAUAAGUUAAAAUUAAUCUCCCUAGUUUGUUGCAUUUGCCCCUUAUAUAUUGCGGAGUUAGCAGCCAUGGUAUGACCCUAUUUAACUUCUCUUCAUUUUUCUUUAAUUACUUAUGCUUGACAUCCGUGUUAGAUGCAUAUCCAGAUGCUGGUAUGAGGAUAUGACCUCCAAGAACAUAUGAAUCCUAUCUUAGUAAAAGAUACUGGACUCUGUAACCUUGUUGGCUGUUACCCAUUAUGUUGCUUAGGACUAAAUGUAUAUGCUGAUCACAUUAUAUAGGUUUCCCGGGGAUUGUAACACACUUUUGGAUAGUUUACUUUUAAGACUACUGAUGAACUUUCGAAUCAGUUAGAUGUUGAUCUUGGGAUUCAUUUAAAUUUGGUACUUCAAGUCUUUUCUCGUACUCGUGUAUUAUUGUUGGAUACGAGUAUGUAUCUGACAUAGGUAUAUUCAAUUUUUUACAAGUUUUUUCAUGCGUUUGGAAGGGUCAUACACAAGACUUGCUCUAAUAUUUGUCGGAUACAGCUUCAAGUUGUAGUGAUCAGUUUUAAUGGAUCCACUGGUCAUUUCUUUUAAAUUUUCUGCCUAAUUGAUUUCCGAUGACUCUUCCAAGCCUAGAGUCAAGGCCUAUUAUAUAUGAAUGUCACCAUGCUAGUUUAGUUUUCAUUGAUUACAUAUUGAUACUCGAUAUAGCUUACCAAAUUCUCAAAUUUAUGCAGAAAUACAUCUCGAAGUGGGUUAACACGCAGCACUCAAUGACAGCAAAUUUUAAUCGAAGCAUCAACUACAAGGAGUACACAUAAGUCUCCUGGAUCCUUUUACUUUUUAUAAUUUGUUACCUCCUUUGGUGAUUGAUUAUAAAGAUAUUAUAACUUGCAUGCUGAUGAACCUGCGUUCAUUAAAAUUGACCAAUAGAUGAAAUCCGGGGAAAAAAGGGUAAAAUUCGGAUGAAGAAGACAUCGAUUCGGUAUGCUUCUAACAAACUGCUUAUUCCACUUUUUAGAGAUUUAGCCAAAAAAAGAAAAACAGGAAAAAGGAAACUAUUUCUCUGGGCUAACAUUAUGUUAGGUUUUCAUGAGUGGCCAGUGAUUGUGUGGUUGUAUAGGUAGUUUCCUUUUUUUCCCCGGAAUUUCUGCCGUUGUCCCAUUUUCCGUUUUUUGCAUUUCAUAUUUGUAAUCUGCAAUUAGUGUGAUUUGUCUUUCAAGUUUGUUAAUAUUCUUGUAUUGAGAUCUGUUUGGUUGUGUUAUUCAUUAAUAGUUGCUUAUAGAUCUGGAAUGAUUGUUUUUGUUUUUUCUUCGGAUGUUGGAUGCUGUUUUUAAGGGUGAGGUUUUGUUUGGUUGGGUCUUAAAAUUUUAAAAUCCCUACAAAUUUUGCAGAACCGAUCGAUGUAUAAGUGAGAAAUCGAACUAAUCUAAUUAGAAUUAAUCAAUUCGGUUUGACCAGGUUUUUCGGUUUCUCAUUCAUUGUUAGGCUGGAUAAUGAUACCAUUCUAGAAAUCAUUUUAAUAUUUAAGCGUUGGUCAAUGAUGUUUGAACCGGACAAUGUCGGCUGGUUGGAUUGGGAGCCAGCCGGGGUUAUUGAUCCGAAGAAUGGCUUUGAUCCGGUUAAACCGGUAACUGGCAUGGACCGAUUGAAUUGACAGUUGAAUUGGGGUUUUUAUUUUUUAAUUUUUAACCAUUUUUUAAUCGAACCGGUUGGAUUGGUGAAUUGGUGGCUGAACUGGUUCGGUUUAAAAAACAUUUGUGUUGGUUUGUUAAGUUAUUCGAUUUAGAAAAAAAAAAAAAAACUAAAAAUCAACCACACAAUCACGUCCAAAUUAAAAUACAUAUCAAUAAGCAUUCUUGAUAAAAAUUGAUGUCGGAGACUGAGUGCUCAGAUUUAUAUUUAGCUUAGAUCUUUCAAUAUGUCGGUUUUGUCCAAUGUUAUUAUGGUCUAGGUAAGUCAUGAUUGAGCCAUGUUUUUAAUGUUUAUUUUUAUACUUAUACUCCCUCAAUAAAAAAGAAUUACCUUAUCAAAUAAGGUGAAAGUCUAAGAAAUUUCUAUUUUAGUCUUUGUAUUAUUAAAUGGAUCUAUUUAUUCAUUGUGUUAUUAAAUGUGUUAUUAAAUAAAUUAAAAUUAAAAUAGAGUUAAUAUUUACUGUUUAAAAUAAUAUUAUUUAUUAUUUUCUUGUAUAUUUUUGUAAAUGAAAUUUUUGUUUCUUUUAAUUGAAUUGGAAUUGAAAAAAAUAUAUUUUUUAUAAUACAAAUAGUAAUUCUGAUACAGUUUAGAUUUAUUUGAUUGGUUUUAAUAGUAUAAAGAAUAAAUUGAUUUAUUUAAUAAUAGAGGUAUUGGAUAAAAUCAAAUUUAAACAAAUUAAAUUGAUAGAUUGAAUGAACAUCUUAAAAUCAAUUUUUUUAAUUGAAUAAAAUUUGAAACUGAACAAACUAACAUUAUAAUUUGACUAGAUUUUCAAUUUUUUUUGGAUUAUUAUUUAUUUUCUUAAUUUUCCUGCUAGGUAGAAGCUAAGCGGGACUUGAAAGAUUCCCAAUCGAGACCCUUUUCAAUGUAUUUUAUGUUGGAAGGAUCGAAAGGACCUUUGAUUCUAUCAAUGGAGUUUAUCACUGCUCUUUUUGGUAUUACACUCUUUGAUGGAUCUGGUGAUGUCCCAUAGCUCAAACACGAUGAAAACCCCUGCAAUAAUGGCAAAUUUAUAGAGGAAUUAACUACAGAAAUAUAUUUAAAACAUAUUUAAUACACAUGGAUUAGAGUUUAUGCAUAUAGGUGCCUAAUAAGAUGCAUCAAGAAAAAAAAAACUUUAAUAAGUUAAAGUAUCAUGACGAUUUUUGUAUUAGAAAUUAGUAUUUUACUCUAUCUCCUCAAAAAGUUAAUAAAUUAAUCUUUUGAAUGUUAAAUCAAAGAAUAAUUAAUCCUUUAUAUAGUUGAUCGUAUAAUUAGAUUGUGAGACAUAGUAUGCUACAUAUAUUUUAUAUUGACAUAUAAAGAUUAUUUUUUAACAAUAAAAAAUGAAUAAAAUUUUUAAUAGAAAUAUCAAUUUACUUUUUUUUAUCUAAUAUACAUGAAUUAAUUUAUUUAUAUUUUUAAUAAAUGGAUAAAAUGCAUUCGAACCUUUGUACAUGGGUUUUCAUAAUACUUUUAUCACUUAAUCUUGAUCUAUUUCUCCAUUUUGAUAACUAAAAUUUUUCAUCCCACUUUAGAAUUUUAGCAAUCAUUUUCUUCCCGACACGAAUAAGAAUGUAAAAUGUUGCCGGAUGCUAGUAAUUUGGUAGUAAAAUUCGAUGAAAAUGAAGAUUCUAAGUAUCAAAAUGAGAAAAAAAAAUUAAGUACUAAAAGGAGAAAAAAUAUAAUUUAAGAGUCAAAUCAUGAUUUAAGAAAAAAAUUAGUAUACUUUAAUAUCAAUUAGAACGUAUUGAGAUUUAAGACUAAUUUAAAAUCUACAUUAUAAUUUAGACGUAUAUUGAAAUUGAUCCUCAAAAAACAAAAACAAUUAUAAUUUCAUAGACAGACCUUGAAAAUAAGAACCUCAACUUCUUGUUCAUCCACAAGUGCAUGAACAAUAAGAGCUUCUUCUCUAGCGGAUUGGCUAUAAAUUUCGAGCAUUGCGAUCUCUUCGUUAUACCCAUUUUCUUUUUCUUCUUCAUCAUCAUCGUUUUCAUAUCUGAUUCUUCUUCUUGCAGCAGCACAAGAAAUGUUGCAGAACUUAAAAGCUUUAGCGGCAAUGACAAUGGCGGAACGAUUGGUUUUUAAGGAGUUUAUUUCCUUGGGAAAAAUGGGUAUCAUUGGAGGUGUGAGAAUUGUGUAGCCCAUGUUCAUAUAUGUUUCGGCCAUGGUUGAAUUUGAACCAGUGUUCUUCUUCACCUUUGGGAAUUGGAUGGUUUAAAAAGAUAAGGUGGUGGCACUAUCACAGUUUUAACGUGGAUGGUGAGAAUAUCAUAGCCCACGUGCUCUUCAAUCUGUUUUUUAAAGGGCUAAUUUCACUAAAUGUUCUCAGACAAUCAAAAUAUCCUAUUUGAGUCGUCAAAAUUUUAAUAUCGUAUCAACCAGUCUAACCAUUAAUUUUAGCCACGUAGAGACAAAAAUUAAAAAAAUUUUCCGUGAUCAGAUUAAAUUAUAUAUUUUUAUGAGAAUUAAAAUAAAAAUAAAAUUUUUUAAUAAUUUAUAUUUUUAUAAUUUUAAAAUAUUAAAUAAAAUUCUAUUUUUUUUAAAGAUCAAAGUGUAAUUUUAUUUUUAUUAAAUUAAAAUUUUGUAAAAUUUCAAGAAUCAAAAGUGAGAUUUUAUAUUUUAGGGGACUGAGACUCUUGCCAAUACCUUUGACAUCGCUCCUACAUUGAAGGCUAAUGAACAUAUUAAAAUUAAGUUAAUAUGUGCCAUAAGUUGUUUACAUUUUUUAGGAAUUUGGUCCUUAUUUAUUUUAAAUUUCAAAAUUUAGAUUAAUUGUUUAAUUUAAAAUAUUUUAAAGUUUGAUAUAGAAUUUGAUAUUUAAUUAAUAUGAUAAUGAACUUUGGAAAUUUAAUUAGAAUAUUUUAAAAUUUAAUUUAGAUCAAGGGUGAAUAUAGAAGUUAGUAAGGCCUCGGUCCAUUUUGUCCCUUUAAAAUUUUAAAUUAAUAAAGAUAAAAUUACACACUAAUUCUUUAAAAAUGAUAAAAUUUUAAUUUAAUUUUUUAAAAAUUAUAUUUCUACUAUAAUAAAAAUUAUAAUUUAAUUUCAACACCUAAAAUAAUUUAGGGGCUUCCCGGUUUAGAGUUGGAGCUGUUUGUUAUUAACCAUUUUCUUAAAAUAUUCAUAUACAUAUUUAAAUAGGUGAAAUAGUGGUUUUGGUGUCUCAAGUAUGUUAAAAUUUGGACUUAUUCAUUCAUAAUAUUAUCCAAAUAUUUUUAAAUCAUCUUUGAAUAAUUGGUUAACAUGUAAACCUUCUAUUUAACUUUUAAAAUAAAUACUCUUAAGCAUUCAAUUUGCAUGUAACUUUUUUAUAAAAAUUUCGGGUUAAUUGUCAACACAUUAACAAAAGUAAUUGAGGAUUUAAUAAUUUGAAUUAAUUAAAACAUUUUAAAAUUAAAAAAAAUAGAAUAAUAAUAUUAAUUAAUCUCGACCAAUUUUAUUAUUAAAAAAUAUUAUUUUUUAUAUUUAUAAUUAAAUUAAAAUUUUAAAAAAUAAUAUUACAACUCGAUCUAAGAACACUGCUAGCUGUAAACAACUGCUCUUGCAGUAAAAUUUUAGAAUAGUGAUGAAAUUAGAUUAUAAGGACUAAAUCAGUAAGAUUAACAUAGUAUAGGGACUAGUAGAGUGAAUUUCAGUUAUUUUUCUGAUGGAACUGGCGGUUUUCAAUUCUGAUCAAUAAUGGUAUUUCAAUUUCCCAAUUUUUCUCUACUUCAAACCUAAAAUCCCGAUUUUCAAAAAUUCCAGAAAAUUAAAAGUUCAAUAAAAUGGCUGAAAUACCACCGCCAAAACCGAUUUUACCUCAAGAUUGGGAAUCUUUAGUUGAAGAUUUCCAGUACGGCGGUUUCCGCCGCGAGAAAUGGCGGUCCCUGUCCCCUUCCGUCGUCGAACUCGCCCUUUCAUCGAUCCUCAAAAAGGAAUUCCCUUUCAAAAUCCCUCUCGUAAUCUUCCUCGAGGAAUUUUCCGAUCUAUUGUUCCCCCAAGAUCCAUCACUCGCUUCCCUUAUGGACCGCCUCGUCGAAACCCUACGCGCCGUUGUCCAAUCCCCGACCGACGGUGUCCAUGUCACUUACGCAUUGAAAGAACAGAUGAUGGUUUCGACGACCUCGAUUUUGAUCUCUACCAACUCAGUCGAGUCCGUCGAGGUUCGGUUUACGGAAUCCGUCGUCGAACUUUUAUUAGCGGUUAUAAACCGGCCGAACCAUGGACCGGACCGCCACGCACGUGCCACUGCUUGUGAGUGUCUACGUGAGUUGGAGAAAGCUUACCCUUGUUUACUCUCUGAUAUUGCUGGUCAUUUAUGGAGCUUAUGCCAAAGCGAACGAACCCAUGCUUCGCAAAGUUACAUUUUGUUGUUUACAACUGUGAUUCAUAGUAUCGUGAAUCGAAAGUUAAGUGUUUCUAUUUUGAAUACUUCGGUUCCUUUGAUUUCUUUUAAUGUACCGCAAUGCGUUGUAGAAUUAGAAAAGGAAGGGCUGUUAGAGUUGAAUUAUAAGGAAUUGAGAAGAGCAAUGGCGUUUUUAUUGGAAUGGCCACAAGUUUUAACUCCUUGUGGGAUGAUGAUUUUUAUGGGAAUGAUAAUGCCAUUAGCAGUAGCUUUAGAUUUACAGCCUUCUAUGCUUAAAGUUCAGUUUUUUGGGAUGAUUUAUUCAUUUAAUCCUUUAUUGUAUCAUGUUGUUUUGGUCAUGUAUUCGCAUUUUUCCGAAGCAUUUAACGAGCAGGAAAUUGAGAUUGUGAGAAGACUUUAUUUGGUUUCAUUGGAAACACAGCAACAUUUGGUGUUUCGAUUGCUUUCAGUGCAUUGGUUGAUGGUUUUUCUGAAUAGGUUGAUGGUCGAGAAGAAGAAGUCGAUUGUAGAAACGGGUUUCAUGUUUUAUCCGAGCGUGUUUGAUCCACUUUCGUUGAAAGCAUUAAAGCUAGAUUUACUUGCUUUCUGUUCUGUUUGUAUCGAUAAGUUGAAUCCUCAAAGUGUUUCAGAUAUGGAAGGGAAUUCGGUAGUGAAGCUCUUUCAGGAUGGUCUAGUAUCAGUUUUGGGUUUCAAAUGGUUGCCUCCUUGGAGCACGGAAACUGCAGUGGCAUUCCGUACUUUCCAUAAAUUUUUGAUAGGCGCAUCAUCUCAUUCCGAGGCUGAUCCUUCCACCACCACUGCACUUAUGGAAUCCGCCAUUUUCAAUCAUUUAAAGGUUUUUUCUUUUUCAUUAUAAAGUACUCAUUUAAUUAUGCCUCAAUGAAUCUAAUUUACAUCUACUUAACUAUAUGGAGUAUGUCCAUUAUCUGAAAUAGAUUAUUAUGUCGAUCAUAUAAUUAUUAUGAUGGCAUUUAUGUAGGAGUGGAUUAAUCAGGUACAAGGAAUGAAAAUUAAAACAUAAUUUGCCACACGUAUAAAACUUAAUUCAAUUUAUUUAGUCUUUUCCAGUUCGUUUAAUAUGAAUGAAAAAUGUUUUCUUUUUUUUUUGGAAUUUAUAUGCAUGGGUUUGUGUUUAUAUAAAUAUAGGUGAAUGUACCAAGGAGCUUGAUCAAAUUAGUCCCUCUACUAUUAAAUGGAUCAGUUUAGUCUAUCUACUAUUAAAAUGAAUCAAAUAAGUCCAAAUUGGAAUAAAAUUAAUAUUUACUGUUUAACAAAAUAUUUUUGAAGUUUUUAUUAUUCUAUAAAUGAAAUCUUUUCUUUGGAAUUGAACUUCAAUUGAAAAAAAUAUUUUUUAGGGCAUUUUUUAUAUAGUAAAUGUUAACUCUAUUACAAUUUGGACUUAUUGAUUCUUUUUAAUAGUACAGGGACUAAAUUGAUCCAUUUAAUAAUAGAGGGACUAAUUUGAUCCAGUCACUAUAAUACAGGGAUCUCCCAGGUACUUUAACCUAUACAAAGUUCAUGAAUUGUUUGUUUUUACUCAAUAAUUUUAUAAUAAAAGUAUAUGCUAAUGGGAUCAUUAGUUUUACUGAAUUGGAUCACAAGUGUUCCUUGAUUUGGAAUGUGUGUACCAAUUCGAAAAUCGCUUAGAGAUAACGAUUUCUGGUAACUGAGAUGCAGAACUAGACUCGAAGUUUAUGUUUUAGCUGAUUCUAAAUCCUGAGUAUGACACGGGAAAAAUUAUACUGUUUAUGUUUUAGCUGAUUCUAAAUCCUGAGUAUGACACGGGAAAAAUUAUACUCCAAUGGGCUAUAUGCUGAUAUUUGUUAACUUCUUUUGUUCAGGGGAUGUUUGUUGACUUGAUACUGGAGUUUCAGAGAUUGGUUCCAGUCAUUGUUGCUUUUAUUGACCGUUUGUUAGGCUGUCAAAGGCAUCUUUGGUUGGGAGAACGUCUGCUUCAAACGAUCGAUGCGAGUCUGCAUUCAAGAGUUGCAAUUGAUUAUAGACUAGUUUCAUACUUCCCGAUUUUCGAUAGGAUUGCUGAAAAUCAAACAAUACCUCCGCGUAGGUUGUUAGAGCUACUAACCAAGUUCAUGGCUUUCCUUGUUGAGAAACAUGGACCAGACACAGGUGUAAAAUCUUGGUCUCGGGGUAGUAAGGUCCUCGGCAUUUGCAGAACCAUGCUAACUCACCAUCAGAGCUCUCGUUUAUUCCUUGGUUUAUCCCGUCUCCUGGCGUUCACCUGCCUUUACUUCCCUGAUUUGGAGGUUCGUGACCACGCAAGGUAUGAAGGGACGACUUUGUUCUUUUUCCUUUUUUAACAUUUCUGUUCCAUGUUGACCCAACAGGAAGAAAAAUAGUCUAAAUUAUAAGGAAUCUCGAGAAGAGUUUUUGAUUAUUUUCUGUCAUGUAAAUUUACAGGAUCUACUUGAGGAUGCUGAUUUGUGUACCCGGAGUGAAGCUUAGAGGAAUGCUAAACCUUGGGGAGCAACUCCUUGGUAUUUCCCCCUCGUCUCAUUCCGGAUCAUUCUUCAACGUGCCAUCUCCUCGACAUUCUCAAGAUCCCAAGAAAUUAAAGAACAUCGCAUCCUAUAUCCAUCUCGAGCGGAUGAUACCACUACUUGUCAAACAGGCUUGGUCGUUGUCUUUAUUGCCUUUAAGGGUCGGGAGUAACAAACCAGAUUUUUCUGGUGGCUUUAGGGAUGGUGGAGCCUCGACAGAUGAAAGAGAACUUGAUGCCACUAUACAAUUUGAGACUGUAUUAGAUGGUCAGGUAAUGGAUAAACCACAGGCGCCAUUAUAUGUGAUGGACUCGAAAGUUUCAGAGAUUUUAGCGAUAUUAAGGAGACAUUUCACGUAUAUUCCUGAUUUUAGACAUAUGCCGGGGCUUAGGGUUAAAAUUCCUUGCUAUUUGAGAUUUGAUGCGGAGUCUUUCAAUAAUGUUUGGGGAAGUGAGUCCCCGAAAAGUGGGUUACACGGAGUAGAUGCCCUCCCUGCCAUAUAUGCUACAGUAUUGAAAUUCUCAUCGUUGGCACCAUAUGGGUCAAUUCCGACAUGUCAUAUACCCUUUCUUCUCGGUCAACCUCCAACUAGUGGUGAUUUUCGUGGUGAAAAUUUUUCACUAGACAUCAUUGCUACACACGAUGGUGAUGGUGGUAGUGAAGAAGAUAUCUAUAAAGCUCCUGCAAUGAUCGAAUUGGAACCACGUGAGCCAACUCCCGGUAUGGUUGAUGUUUUCAUUGAAACAAACGGGGAAGAUGGUCAAAUCAUCACAGGACAGUUGCAAAGUAUUACGGUUGGCAUUGAAGAUUUGUUUCUUAAAGCUAUUGCCCCACCAGACAUCCCAGAAGAUGUUUUACCUGAUUACUAUUCAGAUUUGUUCAAUGCCUUGUGGGAUGCAUGUGGUACUACUUCCAAUACCGGGCGGGAGAUUUUCCCCUUAAAGAGUGGCAAAGGGUUUGCCGCCAUUCAUGGAACCAGAUCCGUGAAGUUGCUUGAGAUUCCUCCAUAUGCUUUAAUUCGUGCCACUGAACAUUAUCUGGCACCAUUUGUAGUUAGCGUGAGCGGAGAUCGUCUCAUUGACAUGGUAAAGGAUAAUGGAAUUAUCAGAGACGUUGUAUGGCAAGAUGAAGCCUCUGGACUUUUGCUUGAAGCCCCCACCUCAGUUGCCGAACCUGACAGUAUGCCUCUUUAUCUUACUUUAGUCGAGAACGAAGAAGAGCAGGAAAGUCAGUUAAACAUUGGCAAAAGAAGUCUCGGUUGCAUCCAUGUCUUGAUUUUUCUUCCCCCGAUGUUCCAUCUCUUGUUACAAAUGGAAGUAAGUGAUGCUUCGACUUUAGUUCGUAUUCGCACCGAUCAUUGGCCAUGCUUAGCUUACAUCGAUGAUUACUUGGAGGCAUUGUUUUUGUCAUAAAGGUGAUUGCACGAACCAGUUGGGUUAAACUUCGAGUUUUGCCAGUUGGAUGCCAUUUUUAAAAGGUGAUUGCUUGAACUAAUCGUGCUAAACUUCAAGGCUUCAUUCGACACGGUUCAAACUUCACUCUGGUUGGUGCCGAUUUUUUGCAUGGAUUAAUUGAAUUAAACAUCGAGAUUUCACUGCAUUACGGUUAAAUACAACCCGUUGUUGUGAAACUUUUUGCAUAUGUUCAUGUAUUCUUUUUUUAAGAUGAUAUGUGCAUUUUGUUAGGAAAGGGGAGCUUUUUGCACCCAUUUUGUUCAUGUAAUGCUGUUAGGGAAAAAAAAAAAAAAAGCCUCUGCAACACAUCUCAGGACUUUGUAUUUUUUUAAAAUAAUAAUAAUUAUUUAUUUUCCAUGUAUCACAAUUUUGUCAGUACAUUUAAAUAUUUUAAUUAUUUUUUCGUAUCAUAGUUUAUGUCAUGUCUUAAUACAAAUUAGAUUCUGAUAGUAAAAGUAUUAUGGAGAUUUCUGUAUUAUGAGUUUAAUUAUAUUUUAUAUUAGACUAAUAAGUAAAUUCGUUUUUUCUAUUAAAAAAUUUAUCUAUUUUUAUUGAUAAAAACAAUUAGACAGUUACAUGUGAUGUGUCACGUGUGUUUUAUUCUGAUGUAUAAGAACUAACUUUUAGUAGUAGAAAUGGAUGGAAUUUUUAACAUAAGGACUAAUUUGCUCCUUGAUCUAAUAUAUAGAAAUUAAUUUAUCUAUUUUUUUAAUAGAAAGAUAAAAUACAAUAUGAAUUGUUUAAUUUGUAGCGAAGGUAUACUUCAGCAAGGCAUAAGAGAAGCUUGUUCCACCUUCAAUUAAAAAAGUUCCUAACAAAAUAAAGCUCUCAUGGGGUUUUGGAUAAGGUAAUUUUAUUAAUUAAAUUUAAAUUAUAAUAUCUAAGUAUGAAUAUAAAACAUGUAUUUUAAAUAUAUAUAAUUAAUUAAAUUUUUUUGUUAAAUUUUAAUGUUUUUGAAACCGGAUUGGUGGUUGAAUUGGUCAAAGUCAUCGGGUUUGUUUGAUUCAAAUUGAGUAAAUUAUUAAAAAAUUAUAAUAAAAAAAGAGUAAAAAUUGAAAAUUAUUAAAAGAUCAUAAAAUCUAGUUUAAUUAAUUUUUAGCCUAAUACAAUCGGUUCAUAUCAAUUUGUGGAUCAACUGAUUGUUUACCUUGUUUUGGAUCAGAUCGGUCUGUUCUUAAUUUAACCGUUCUAACUAGCUGAUCCAAUCCAGUUUCAACAACCUUAUUAAAUAGGAUAAAUUACACCUAAUAUCAUUAAAUUAUUAGUAAAUUUAUGUUUAGGUCACUCAACUUUUAAAAAAAUUAUAAAAUUAUCACUAAACUAUUCAAAAGUUUUUAUUUAAGUCACUGAGCUAUUAAGAUUUUUUUUUUAAAAAAGGAAAGUUCAGUUAGUGAUCUCUAAGUGACGAUUUGACAAUCAAUAUGGUAGAUCAGUACCUAUCAACGAGUAUAAAAAACAUAUGUUAGAUCCAAGUCGAUCUGACAAUCAAUGUUAGGAAUCGGAGAAGAACAUUAUUUAGACUUUGGUUCGCAGAUUGUGAUAUUCAAAACUAUUUCAUAAAAGAAAAAAAUUGAACUAUAAAAGAUAAUGAGAAUAAGAGCUUUCAAUUGAUAUAGGCGAUACGAACAGAGAAAGUCAUACAACAACAAUUUGAACAGCUCAAUGACUAAAUAAAAACUUUCAAAUAAUUCAAUCACUAUUUUAUAACUUUUAAAAAUUAAAUAAUUAAUAAAUUAAUGUGAUUGAGUGCAGCUUAUCUUAUUAAAUAUCAUGGAACUUCCACAAGGAUACAAGUGGGUCCUAUACCUAUUGGCCAAAAAAGUAUCCACCUAAAUCCCACAAUGGUGAGAAUAUAUAAGGCAAUAUAUAUAUAUUUAAAAAAACCCUUGAAUUUGAAUUAUGUCUAACCAAUAUUUUCUUUUUUUGUCUUUUUAUUUGGGAAAAAAAUCCAAAAAUCCCUUUGAUUUUAUAUGAAAAACAACAGCAUAUAAUAUUAUAUAUAUUUGCAAUUUUUUAGUCCCUAUUUACCAAACCCCAUAUAAAUUCAAAUCCAUCCCCACUAAAGAAAAAUAAUAGAAACACAAAAUAAUUUGGUUCACACAUUCUUAUAAUCUUCAAUUAUUUUAAAAAAAAAGAUACUAUUUAAUUUGCCUUUGCAAGUAAAGUCAACUUAAUUGAUGCUAACAAGCAUUAAUUAAAUACUAUUAAUUAAUAUUUCUAAAAGAAUACUCUCACAUUCAAUACAGUAAUUUUAGUUCUCAAAGUAGAUUGUAUUCAUAUAAUAAACUUAUAAUUUAAUCAAUAUUAUUAUCCUAAAAAUAAUUUCUCAAAUUAUCUUAAAAUAUAUUUUAAAAAUUUCACUCGUAUUUUUUUUGAACAAUUUCAUUAUAAAUUCUAAUAAAAUAUAUUUUUUUUGAUACAAUACCUAGAACGACUCGUAACUCCUUCCUAAUACAUAAAUAGAAGGAUAGUGCAAUAGGCACUGGUAAAGUUUUCUUGAUAUACUAUAAUAGACAAUAAUAAUUAUUCAUUUAAUUUUUUCUUAUUUUAUGCAUUGCUAGUGAACAACAUUGACAUAUGUCCUUCAAUUAUAUUUAUUUUUAGGUUAAAUUGCAUCUAAGGUCACUAAACUAUUAGUAAUUUUACAAUUUGGUCAUUUAACUUUAAAAAAAUAUAAAUAGUCAUUGAACUAUUUGAAAUUUACUCAUUAGGCUAUUAAAUCACUGUUGUGUGAUUUUUUUACAUUCGCACCACCUAUAUUAAUCGAAAGCUCUUCUUCUUUAAUCUUUUGACGAAACAAUUUUGAAUUUCAUGGAUAUGCAAAUCAAAACCUAAACAGUUUUCUUCUCCAAUCUCCGACAUUGACCGUUAAGUCGACUUGGAUUUAACGUACAGAUCAUCAAACCGUCACUUGAAAUUUGCUAAUCAGACUUAAAAUAAAAAAGCUUAACAUCCUAAAAACUUUUGAAUAAUUUAAUGACUUAAAUGAAAACUUUCAAAUAAAAUUCAAUGUCCAUUUCAUAACAUUUUGUAAUUAAAUGACCAAAAGACAAAUUUACUAAUAAUUUAGUGACCUUGGAUAUAAUUUACCCUAUAUAUUUUUUUAUCCAUUACUGUUUGACUAACUUACUGUUUCCAUAGUUUAAAAAAAAAAACUCACUGUUUCCAUCUUACAAUCAUUUCUAAAAUUUUUCACCUUGUUUCAAACACCAUUACUAAUAAGCUUUAUUUAAGACACCCAUAUGAACCCCAAACACCCCCACUGGUAAAAGAAGCUUCAAUCUUUUUUAUCAAUGGCGGCUUACACUACCUGCAACAAAACAUGUCUCUUUUCUCUUGUCUUUCACUGUUUUUCUUCUGUUUUUUUUUUUGUUUCAAAACCAUAGAAUUUUAAUUUUUUAUUUACCUUUUUUUUUUAAAUGUGAAUUGCAGCCAUUGAUGGAAGUAGGUCACCAUUGUUUCAAAAUCUAGAUUCGGAUUUCUCUUCUGGGUAUCUCGAAGAUGCUUUACUUGAAUUCACUGAAAUGUCAAAACGGAGACGAUUGUUGUCGUUUCAUGGUGGUGAUGGUGAUGAUGAUGAUUUAACAAAUAGCUUUAAUGAUCUUGCAAUGGUAUAUACAAAUUUUUUUCGAUUUUUUCUUCUUUUUUUCUCAAUAAUAAAGCAAUUAUUUAUGUCAAUCAAAAGAAUAUACUGAAAUAUCUGUAUUUGUUUUUUAUGCAGAAUUAUAUGAAUUCUGAGAAUUUCAGCUGCAUGAACCAGUUAACAACCAUUAAUGGAGUUUCAGGUAAUGAUUUUUUCUGGUUUAAUUCUGGUUUAGUCCCCCUACUCUGUUAAAAUUUGGGAUUUAAUCCCCUACUUUAAUUUAACAUAAUUUGGUCCUCUACUUUUAGGCUUUAAUGCAAAAUUGGCCUUCUAAUUAUAACAUUUUUCCCACAUAAGUGUCUAAACUUUAAUUUAACAUUUUCUUUGGUACACCUUCCUUUCAUUUUACCUCAAGUCACAAUAUCAACUAAUAAAAAUGUGACACGUGGCACAUUAUUACUAUAUGUGAUAAACUUAUCGAGUAAAAUGAGAGGAAAUUGAUAAUUUAGAUGUCACUUUUAUAAUGUUAUUAGUAUGUCUAAAUUUAUAACACUGUUAAUUGUUACCGUUAAAUCGAUGAUUUGACUUUUUUUACUGAUACGUGAUCCAUAGUCAGAACCACGUGAAAAUCUAGUUAAUCAUGUACAGAUAAUCAGUAAUAAAUUUGAAUUUCCAUUGAAAUCCCCUAACAAGGAUGAAGCUCAGGUAGAGACCUUUGCCCCUUGGUUAAAUGGUAUAAUUCUCCUUGUAGUCCUUUUUAAAAAUUAAAAGUUCAAUUUUAGUCCCUUUAAACUUUGGUCAAAUGAAAAAUUUUCAUUUCUGGUCCCUACAAAAAAUUUAUUUAUUCAAUUUAGAUCAUUUCAACUUAAAAAAAUUUAGCUUUGGCCCCAACAUUUUUAAUUUUAUCUCGAUCACCAAUAUAAAAUUUCUAGCUUUGUCCUUGUGCUUAAAGUCGUUUUAGAAAAAAAAAAAACCACGUCAUCACUUUAACAACAACAACUAACGGUCAAUUUAGACCUAUUAAUAACAUUAUAAGAGGAGAGAGACUCAAUUAUGACAAAUUAUAUUAGAUGGAUUAAAACUUAAAUUUUAGCAUAGUAAUGAGACCGAAAUCAAAAUAAAACAAUUUAAAAGUUUUUUGUUAUGGAAAUUCGUAUCUCGGAAUAUGUCAAAAACAAAUAUUUUUUAAAACAUGAAAAUUCAACAAAAAAAUAAAAAUCUCUAUAUCUAUUUUACAGUUCAAAAAGACUAAUCAUUUUAUGGUUCAUGAUUACCUUCCUAACAACAUCGUCUUCAAAUUUUCAUGAUUACCUUCCUAACAACAUCGUCUUCAAAUUUAAUUAACCUUGAUUUUCUUUUAAUGUAUAAGGAAAUGAAGAUAAAAAGAAGAACAAAAGGGUGAUAAAAAGUGUUGUUUAUCCAUUUGCAUUAGUAAAACCGGGAGGGAUUGAAGGCGAUAUGACAUUAAAUGACAUUAAUCAAAGGCUUUUAAUGCCGCCGACAAGACCGAUCCGACACCCUGUUGGGGACUCCGCUUGUCGGCCAUGCAUGUCAGCCGACGGUAAUGGCCUUUCUGGCAAAGCCGUGACGGCACUCACCAAAAUAUACACUAAAGGAAGUGGCUCCAUCACCAUAAUUAGAACUAAAGGUUAAGUGAGUUUUCUAUUGGAAGUGGCUCCAUCACCAUAAUUAGAACUAAAGGUUAAGUGAGUUUUCUAUUGAUAUCGAAAUAGUUAAAUUAUGAUAUUGAUCCCUCAAUUAUGCUUAAAUUUGAUGUUUAACUUUUGUAAUUUAAUUUGGCAUAAUGUAGUCUUUACUUUUACAAUGUUAUUUUAACACUGUUAGCUAACAAAUACUCCAAUUAAAAUACCAACACAGUUUUUUCUUAAAAGUAUUUUAAUUGGAAUAGUUACUUAUUUGGACUAACUAAUUAUUUAAACUAUAUUAAAUUUUAGGGACUAAAUCUUAAAUUUAAGCAAAGUAAUGGAAGUUGAUCUAUAAGGUUUAUAUUUGAUGGCAUAUGUACACCAAAAGUAAAUUUAAAUGAUUUUAUUCACCCUUAUUGUAUCAAAUAUUAAUAAAUAUAUAUAUAUAUAUAUAAAUAAAAGAUAAGUGUGAUAAUUAAUGUAAAAAAAUAUUUCAUAUUUGGCAUAUUAUAUAGUUAUUAAUAGAAUUUAAAGUAAAUUAUUUUUUUAAAGUAAAUUUCACUAAAUAUUAAUUGCAAAAUAUUUAUAAUCAUAAAUAUAAAAUAUCCUUAAUUUCUAAAACAGAUAAUAUUACGAACUUAAACAUAUUCGAAUUUAUAUCCUUUAAGUUGUUAUAACAACAACAAUACCAACCAAAGUAAUGCUUCGUUGGCAAACACUUUAUUUGUUAAUAAUAACAAUACCAAUAAAACCAAACUAAAACACAUUCGACUGUUGUUGUUAAUAGGCAAUGGUAAUAAAUUUAUCCCUUAACGUUUUCAUCUUUUAUCAAUUUGGUUGUUAUUCCUUUUUUAACUAAAUUUGGACUCUAACCUUUUAAAAUGAGUUAAAUUUGAUCAUCAAUCUUUUUAAAAAAGUCCAAUUGUUUUUUUUUUGAAAGAAUUACUGGCUAAAACUUUAAAUUUUUAAACAUGGACACCCGCGUGACAAUCUACGUGUACUUCAUUCUAUGUUUUUGAAUUUUUUUUUAUAAAUUUUGAAUUAUUCGUGAUGUGGCAUAUAAGAAAAAUAGUGACAUGUCAACAUGAAAUACACGUGGACUGCCACGCAAGUUGCCACGACAACUUGUUUAAAAAUUAAUGUUUUGGUCAACAUUUCCAAUAGAAAAACAAUUUGACUCUUUUUGAAAUGUUAUGACCAAAUUUAACUAAAAAGGAAUAAGAACCAAUUUGUUAAAAAAAAUUGUAAACAUUAAUGAAAAAGCCUUGGUCAAAACAAUUUUGUUUAAUCUUACGUUGGACCGGAAAUUGGGAUAGAGUAUAUUUUUUUAGUAAGGUAGAACAAGAUGUAAAUACAAUAUUUAUUAACGCAGUUUAGAUUAACAAUCCUAUGUUUACAGAGCUUUGUUCAGAGAGAGAUUUUAUUCAACUAGUAUAACUAUUGGUUAAAGCCUAAACUACCCUUCAAACAUAUAUAAGGAUAUUAUAUUCAACCAAAAUUGUUAAAAAUCAAUCUCCCGAAUCCCUAAGACACUCCAAAACUUGUCACUAAUGUACAUCUUUGUUUAAAAAUUAGUAUUUUAGUCAACAUUUCCGUUAGAAAAAUAAUUUGACUCUUUUCGAAAUGUUAUGACCAAAUUUAACUAAAAAAAGACUAAGAACCAAAUUGAUAAAAAAAAAUUGUAAACAUUAAUGAAAAAACCUUUGUUGAAAACACUUUUGGUUAAUCUUACGUGGGACCAAAAAUUGGGAUAGAACAUAUUUUUUUAAUAAGGUAGAUCAAGAUGUAAAUGCAAUAUUUAUUAACGCAGUUCAGAUUAACAAUCCUACGUUUACAGAGCCUCUUUCAGAGAGAGAUUUUAUUCCUAGUACAACUAUUGGUUAAAGCCUAAACUACUCUUCACACAUACGGAUAUUUGUAGCCUAAUAUUCAACCAAAAUUGUUAAAAAUCAAUCCGUAAGACACUCCAAAACUUGUCACUAAUGUGCGUCAAUCAAGCCUAUUUACAAGGUGAUACAAACAACCCCUUUAACAAAAUUUUGAUAAACUUCAAACUCCCAAUUAAAAAUUGAUUUUAUCUCUUAAAGUAUCUUCAAAGAUUAUUCCAUUUGUUUUUUUAAAGCGGCUUAAAAUACUUAAAAGAUAAGGAUAAGGAUAACACUCUUCAAGGAAGUAUCAUGAAUGCCCUUAUAGUAAGAGUUGGAUGGCAUUUUAUCCCCUCACUCAAAAAAUGAGCAAAUUAGUCUUUAUAUGUUAAAUCAAAGAGCAAAUUGGUCAUUUUGUUAAAAAUUCCAUCUAUUUUUAUUGUUAAAAACUAGUUCUUGUAUGUUAGCAUAAGGUACAUGUAGCAUGCCACAUGUAAUUGUUUGAUUAUUUCGUGAUCCACGCCAAUUUAUUCUUUAAUCUAAUGAAUAGAGAUUAAUUUGCUCAUUUUUUUCAACAAAAUGAACCAAAAUACAAUUUGACUCCUAGUAAAACUAACUCCAUGAUAAUUUUACUGACAGUUCAAUAAUUCAAACUCUUCUCCUUUCUCAAAAAAGCCAACCGAAUGAAUAAUUUUAGAUUCUCUAUUUUAUACGAAAUUCUCCUAAUUUGUUAGUUUAAAUAAGAGUCAAACAUGCCAACUAAAAAACUUUGACUACACUAAAAUUAUUGUUCCAUUUAACGUCGGAAUCAUAUCUUGUUUUUAAUUUUUUUGUCUUAUUUAUAUUUAAAUCCGACAAAGACAUGCCUUAUUAAUUGAAUCAAACAAAAGCCGAUUGAGUCUUAACUUGAUCGACAUGGGCAUUGUUAUUAAUGCAGGAGGAUAUAGGUUCAAUUGGUAUGGGCAUUAUCCUCCUAUUUAUGAGUUAGAAAGGGACUCUAAAUAAUUCUAAAUAAUUCUAGGUAUUGUAUAAAAAAAUAAAUCAAAAUAUAUAAUGGAAUUAUUUAAAAAAUUAAAAUAAAAAAAAGCAAAUAAAUCCAAUAAAGAGUCAUCAAAAUUCAAAUGAAGUCAAAACUUUUGAAAAUUUUAAAGCUUUUUGCAACAAUGGCAUAUCAUAUAGGGCAUGCAUAUAUCUUUACAUUGUAAAGUGCUUACAGUUCAUGGUAGUUGAAACAUUUAAUUAUGCAAUGAAAUUAAAAUGGAACAUACUAUAUAUUUGGUCCUUCAUGUUUUAAGGACUAAAUCUCAAAAUUUAUAAAAGUAUAAGGAUUAAUAAUAUAUUUUAAUCUAAUUGUUUUGGGUUGAGUAAAAGUAUUAUGGAGGCCCUUGUACUUGUACUAAGAGUCGGAUUGCAUUUGCUCUCUCUACUAAAAAAUGAGCAAAUUAAUCCCCAUACAUUAAAUCAAAAAGUAAAUAGGUUCUUUUGUUAAAAAAUUUCUCUAUUUUUGUUAUUAAAAAUAGGUCCAUAUACAUCAGCAUGACGUACAUGUAGCAUAACAUUUAUCACUAUCUGAUUAUUCUAUCAACUACGUAAGUUUUUAACAAUACAAAUAAAUAAAUUUUUAAAAAAAAUAAUUAAUUUAUUCUUUAAAUUAAUGUAUAAAUAUUAAUUUAUUUAUUUUUAAUAAAAAAUAAAAUAUAAUUUAACUCUUAAUAUAAAAUACUCUAUAAUACUUUUACGUGUUGGGUAGUUAAGUUUAGCUCAAAUUGAUUAAAUAUUUGGCUAUUGAGGAUGACAUCAAAAUUGUCCUCUUUCUCUAUUGGUCAACGCCCAUCUAUUUGAAACUUUGACCUUUCCCCGACAAGAAUGAGAAAUAUGGGACCCAUUAUUAAACAUAAAAUAUUCGUACCCUGUUUUUGAUCUUACAUGCACCUUAAAUCUCAACCGUUGAAAGCCUUUAAAUUUUCAAAGUGGGGAACAAUCAGAUUAAUCCGACGGUUGUAAUGAGAAGCAGAGCAAAACAUGAGAUUGAGAGUGACCCAAGUCCGUUUCACAGCUGUAAGGCAAAAAGGUCGCAGCUACGUGGUUGAAAAAAGGGUAAAUUUUACCAAAGUCACUAAACUAUUAGUAAGUUUACACUUCGGUCACUUAACUUCAAAAAGUUACAAAAUAGUCAAUGAACUAUUUGAAAGUUUUCAUUUAAGUCACUAGGCUGUUAAAAUCAUUAUUUUAUGACCUUCUUUAUUUAUACAGCCUGUACCAAUCCAAAGCUCUCAUUUUACUCCUUUUCUACAAUUUAGUUUUUUUUUUCUUGAAAUAACUUAAAAUGUCAUAAUUCUAUGAACGAAAAUCCAAAUAGUUUCCUUCUCCGAUCUCCAACACUAACUAUCACAUCAAAUAGUUUCUUAUGAAAUUGUGUUGAAAAUGCAGUGAUUAGGGUCUCGAAUGAUAUGGUCGGUCGAGUGUUGAGAUUGUAGAGCAAAGGGUCGGGGAUGCUUUUAUUAAUCCGUAGAUACGGAUAUUCUCUUUAAAUUUUAAAGGGAAUAAGGUACGUUGAUUGUUGUUUUUUCGAUUAAAUGAGAUAUUAAAUUAUCUAAGUUCGGCUAAAAAAAUUGGAUUAGUUAUUGUCUAGCUCGAGUUAUGAGACUCGAGUUACAAACUAGUCACAUUUAAGUAUGUGUUUGACUCAAAUAACUCAUAAAACUAACUGAAAUUGGAUCAAUCACUAUUGAGCUUGAGUUUGAGUAGCUCAAGAUAUAGUGAUGUUGCCAAGGGUUAAACAGAUCCUUAGCUCCUAAAAUGGUAUAAUACUAGUUUAGUCCUUCCAAUACAAAGAUAAAUUAUAUUUUGUCCUCGUAAAAAUUUAUAAUUUAUCUUCCAUCUUCUAAAAAUAGUGAAAUAUUAAUUUAAUCCCUAUAUAAAUUACAAAGUUGUAAGUUAACAUAACUCUAAGAUUACCUCCAAAGUCUCUUAUAAAUUUAUAAUUUAUUUCUGCUCACACCUAUCGAGAUACGCAACAAGCCAGAUUGGAGUAUAGCAAUUAAACUCAUUUUUUUUAGUUCUUUUUUUUAAGAAACGAAGCUCAACCAAUUCAACCAUUAUCUCAAAAUGAACUCAAGAUUUAAAAGUGAAAUUUGAUCGAGUUCGAGUUUAACUUCAAGCCUAGAACUCGAGUUAAACUCGAGUUUUUUACCGUUUGAAUCCUUAUAUUCAGUCAAUUCUUCAUUUCAAAUGCAAAUUAUGAUGUAUAACUUGGAUAUAGAUACACCAUCCUUGUAUCAAUGUUCCUUGCCGAUGCUAACAAGUGUCAUUAUUAUUAUUUUUAAAUAAAAACACAUAUAUGUGCAUGCUUUGUAGCAAUUAUUUGGUUCAUCAGAUUCAUCCUUCUUUCAUUAGUUGUAUUUUUUCUUUCUCCUCAAAUAUUCAUCCACAAGAAAUUAUUAUUAGAUAAAUCCAUAUAUUCGUAUCAAAUUUAUAUAUAUUUUUUCAUAAUUAUAUUUAAAUAUUUUAUAUUUAUCAAUUUAUAUAUUCAUCUCGUACUUUUUUUCUUUUUCUUUUUUUUUUUUGUUUCAUAUUCGUAAAGGUAUUGAUAAAACACUUACAAUUACAAACUACUUGAAUUUGAUUAAGAAAUUUAUCAAGUUUAAUUUUGAGUUGAACGUGUUAAUAAGAGUCGUAUUAUUUCGAACAACUCACGUGCUCGAACUUAAUUAUUGGAAUUAAAUAAUCAAUUAAGCAAAGCACACGCAGUUUGACCAUAUCUUGACUCGAACUUCAACUUAGAAAAUAAUAUUCGAUCAAGUUUGAUCCAAGCAAAAGUAAUCAUGUUUACAAUGUUUUAUGUUUAUAUUAACUUUUGACCGGUAAAUAAUUUGUGUUACGUAGAUUUUAAACUAUUCAUAUAUCCAUCUCGUGCUCGUGUCAUAUUUUCUUCGUGUUAUAAUUAUAUUUAAAUAUUUAAAGUAUUAAGAACAUCUAAAUACUCGUUUUGAGGUAGAGUCUAUACAAAAAAACCUGGUUCCAGCUAGAGUAUUGAAAUUCAAGUAAUUAAUUAAGCCAAGCUUGCAUUGUUUGACUAUAUCUCGACCUGAACUUCAACUUAGAAAAUAAUAUUCAAUCAAGUUUGAGACAAAUAAAUCAUUUGUGUUGAAUAGAUUUUGAUAUAUUCGUAUAUCCCGUCUCGUGCUCGUGUCUUAUUUUUCCUUGCUCGUAUGUCUUAUUUUUCCGAACUAUGUAAUCAUAUCGUGUUUGCUCCAAUGCUGUUAAAAAGCUUGAGAGCUUCAAAGUAAGUGAAGAACAUCCCAAUUUGGUAAUUCUAGGGUUUUGUUCCAAGGAACCGAAACACCAAUACAUGCCUGAUGGAUCUCUCGGGUGGAAGUUCGGGUUCGUUCAGUUGGGAGAAAAUCCAGAAAAUUGUGCUCGAAACCGGGCAAGGGAUCUUUUUACAUGGAUGAGAAUUUCAGACCCAGGACUUCGGAUUUCGGGAUAGUGAAAUUGAGCCUGAAGAAGCAUGAUCUCCUCUCAUUAUAUGAAAGAAGUGAAACAAUGGGACAUAUGGCACUAGAAUUGAUGGUUUCAAGGGAUUUCGAGGCUGUUUCAUGAAAAUCCGAUGUCUAUAGUUUCAUAAUGUCUUAGAAAUGGCAUGCGGAAGAAGGCAUGUCGACGUCGAUGCAAUCAAUUCGAGCAAAGUGCAUUUUCCUACUUGGGUCUAUGAAAUAAAUGAGGGGAGAUUUGGAGUUUGAGGACCUGAAGAAAAGUUGUUCAUAAUCGGGUUAUGGUGCACUCAAACUUGGCCAUCUUGGCCAUCGGUUUGCCCCUCCAUGAACAGAGUCCUGGAGAUGUUAGAAAUGAACCUUAAUGAUCCGGAAAUGCCUCCGAGGCCAGUGCUCAUUCCGGUUCAAUACCUGUGUGAAACAAAGCCAGAACCGGAUUCUCCAAAAGAGAUGCUAUUGCCUGAGACAAUGGAGAGAAGCUCAUAGUAAUAUCAAAGCAUUUUUCACCAGUCUAAGCUUUCAUCUAUACACUGUACAUAAAUGUUCUCUGCAACCACGGUUCUCGUAUAAUUAAAACUUUUAAGUAUCCUAACAUAAAAAAAUCCGCAUUUUCUUCAAUUCUAACGUCGAAAAGAUGUUAGAACAAAAUACCAAAUGAUAAGGAUUGGCUACAUAAUCAUCAUUCACAAGUUUAUGCUAAUAAAGGGAAUAAAUAAAAUGCCAUUGAUGUCAGUUUAAAGAUACCGAGGAAAAGCAGCAUUCAACUGCCAGUCUCUAACAACACUUUCUGGGUGGACGAAAGGAGAAUAUCCGAACAAAAUCCAACAACUAAAAACUCGUCCACAACUUUAAACCGGAAUAAACGGGAUGUUCUUAAAGCAUGAGCACAAAUGAAAAACUACAAGGUUCGAACAAAGACGGCCAUGGGAAUAUAUACAAGUGAAGCAGACCAUAAUUGAUGGAGUUCAACUAUCAUUACCACCAAUAUUAAACCUACCUGAUAGUAACAAACUUGUUGGUACCGUGUCUUGCCCAAUGACUCCUCAAAUCAAUCGGAUUACUGAAGUUGUAAUUUUCAACUGCAAGUUUCUCAAGGACCUUCUUGAAUGCCCCCUGACUCAUUUUCCGGCCAGCUAUCCUUGCACCACGCCUUUUGGUGCUCAUUGGCAAAGGAUACAUGGAUACGUUUGUGGUACAACAAGCGGAUUGCCAACCACCAAAGCCCCAUCGAUAACAUUGCUGAGCCGUUCCAGUGCAUGAGCAAACAGGAAUUGGAAUGCCUGAAAUAUCCAUGUCAUACCCAUUUAUUUUAAAAACAAUACUCUUCUUUGCUGGCUUCACACGUUGAACUGCAGAAUUGGCAUUUUCCUUCGGCUUCUUAGGCUUUUUGGCCUUCGGCAUCUUAGGGGCAGCUCCACCCUGCCUUUUCUUCGGUUCAACACCCUCCUUAUUAGCUGGUGGCUCUUCAACACUACUCGCCACCCUCUCAUCUCUUGUUGAAGAAUCAGGUGGUGGCUGCAAAAUUGGCAAUGAAUGAGCUGCCGACGUUUCCGGGAGAACGGCGUAAUUAGGAGUGGUGGCAGGGAACAUGUUGAAAAACUUAUCUCUGUCAGCAAUCCAACUAUCCCUAACAUAAUUCAUGGGGAUAUGUGCCUCGGAAACAAUGGGGUCCCGCUGGUGAAAGGUGGUAUUGGUAGUAAUCAUGAGAUUGGGAUCACGGCCGGGAAUAAAAGACUUUGCAUCCCGUUCAACCAUGCUCGACAUUAGCUGCAGACCGAGAUGUCCUUUAAACGACGGUUCGUAGUAACCCCAAUUACGCAUAUUCAACGCAUCGUCAUCCAUGAAGCUACUACAUAUAGUUAACAACACAACAGAAAUUAUUAAUCUUUUACCAUGAUUCAAAAUUUUCCAUUCAAGUACUGUUUAGCACUCCCAGUUGAAUAAACAACAAAUACCACAGGGAAACAAAAUAGGAAGAAAAUAAGGGUUAAUAUAACUUUUAGUCCCUGAACUUGGAAAUUAGGUCCACUUUGGUACCUUUACCUUUUUUUUCUCCAUUUAGGUACCCAAACUUGGCAGCUAAGUCCAUUUUGGCCUCUAAACUUAGAUUCCAACAAGAUUUGAUUAUGUAGUACAAUCUGAGAGUGCCACAUCAUCAAACUUUUACAUUUGCCAAGUUUAGGAACCAAAAUGGACCUAGUUACCAAGUUCAAGUACCAAAGUGAACUUAAUUAUCAAGUUCAGGGACUAGAAGUUAUAUUAACCCACAAAAUAAACAUCGGAUUCAAAUAAGAAAUGCAUUGCAAUGACAUUGAACGGAGAUAAAAUACAGAUCCAAUUACAUACAAAGCUAAAUAAAGAUCAAACAGAAACAGCAUUUCAAAAGUCAAGAGUGAUAUAUAAAUCCGUUUGGUUCCCAAGAAUAUAAAUGGAAAGAAAAUAAGUCACAUUUCUAACACUAAACCUCCAAUGAGCUAAAUUAUGGAAACCAAAGAUCUCAUUCCACAGUAAAUAAAUAAAUGAAAAUAUAGCAAAAAAUGGAAGAAGAAAGAAAUCUAAGAUUCCGAAGCAGCAUAAAUUUAAAUCUAAAGAUAGCAAUAGAAAAAAAAAUGGAAACUUUCAGAUUCAAACUCAGUUCUAAUUUGCCCACAUUUUCCCAUGAUCCAAAAUUUCCAAGAAUCAAAACCCAUAAUCAGAUCUACUAAAUAAAGCUAAAAAGAGCCCCCCACAAAAAAAACAAAAUCCUGUUUCUGAGCUUCCAAUUUGGGAAGUUCGUAAGAACCCUAAACCUGCUUCAAAAUUUCAAUCUUCAAAUCUCAAAACAAACAAACAAAUAAAUAUAUAAAUAAAAUAUAUUAAUAGCUUAACAAAGGUGUUAGGACCCAUAUAUCUAUUAUCCAGUAUUUGUUAGAGAAAAGAAAGCAAUGAGAGAUGAUGAAAGCAAAAAAGAAAAAAAAAGGAAAAAUUAAAUUAAAAAAUAAAAAGGAAAGAGAGAUAUAAGUGAGAGGAAAGAUAAAAACUUACUUUGGGGGUGUAAAAUAGCUCUUUAGGGUUUUUUUUUUUGCCUUUUUUCUGGAGAGAGAAAGAGGAGAGAGAAACCACAGAGAAAAAAAAACCUAAAUAAAAAGAAAGAGAAAGAGAGAUAGAGACUGAAGUCUACAGUGUAAAACUCUAAACAAAUACAGAAAGGUUAAAUAUAUUUUUUAAAAAUGUUAUGUAUUGGGUUAAUUCCAGUAAACGUCGUCGAAUUAUCGUAAAGAUUUUAAAUUAGUCAUAAAUUUUAGGGUAAAUUCAACCAAUGUCACUAAACUAUUAGAAAAUUUACGUUUUAGUCACUCAACUUUAAAAUGUUACAAAAUUAUCACAGAACUAUUCAAAAAUUUUUAUUUUAAGUCACUAAAAUGGUCAUUGAAUGGUGAUAAAAGGUGUUCAUGGGCUAUGUAAUCCAACCGACCCGAUCAACUCAACUAAUAUUGGGGUGGGCUGGCUUAGUUUGACCAAUUUUAUUGUUUAAAUAAUAAAAUUAAAAAAUAUAUUAAUAUUAUGUUUAUGAUUAAAUUUAAAUAUAAAAUGAUUUACUAUUAUUUUUAAACAAUAAAAUUGAGUUAAACGAAUUCGAGGUAUUUUUUUUAAAUCGAGCCUCAACCUAGCUUUACUCAUAAAUACUUCUAAUGGUAAUAAAGUAUUUCCAAAGUUUAAGCAUUCAAUCCAUAUUAAAUCAAAUUUGAAUAAUUUUUUUUAAUUAUUUCAAAUGAUUUAUAUAUAAAAAUUAAUUAAUUUUAAAUAUAAAGUAUAUGAAAUAUUAGUGUAAAAUAAUUUUUAAAUAAUGGUACAAACUUUAAAUCAAUUGAAAUUAAAUUUAAAUAUAUUGUGUAAUUUUUAUAUUCAAAAUACACUAAAUAAAAAAUUCAAGACUUAAUUUAUUAAGUUAUUAUUUUGUCAAAAUGGAAUCCAUUUUUCUAUAAAAAAAUUCAAUAUAGUGUAUUUUGAUUAAAAACUUUAUAUUAAAUUUAUUUUGAAUCGAUUUAGAGUUUGUAUCACUAUUUAAAAUUUAUUUUAUACUAAUAUUUUAUAUACCUUAUAAUUAAAUUAUAUAAUUUUUUGAUAUAAUUAAUCUAAAUUAUUAGUAAGUUUAUGUAUUGGUCACUCAACUUUAAAAAGUUGCAAAUUAGUCAUCGAACAAUUCAAAAGUUUUCAUUUAAGUUACUGAAAUAUUUGAAAGUUUUUUUUUAGGUCACUACCUAUUAAGUUUUUUUGGCAUAAUGAUUUAUUUGGCACUUCAACUUUACAAAAAAGUUAUUUUAGCUCCCCAUUUAAUUUUUCGCCUCUUUUAGCUCUUAAACUUGUGUUGUUUGUCAAAUCAUCUAAAAAUAGAUGAAAAGUUAACAUUCGUUAAUAUUGCAUCAAUUAAUUAAUCUUUUAAAAUUUUAAAAUUAAAAGAUAAUUAAAUUAAUUAAUUUUAUUAAAAAUAUAAAAUUAUAACUAUGAUAACGUGUUUGCCAUGUCAACAAUUAAUUAAUCUUUUAAAAUUAAAAAAGUAUAAAAAUAAAAAUUAUUAAAAAAGUAUAAAAAUUAUAAAAAAAUAUUUUUAAAAAAUUAAUUAAUUGCUAAUGUGACAUAUAUAUGGACUGCUACAUGAAUGCCAUAUUAGCAAAAUUAACCAAUAUUAACUUUUUUUUAAUCCAUUUUGAGGUAAUUUGACAAAUAAUGCAAGUUCAAAGGCUAAAAGAGGUAAAAAAAAAUUAAAUAUAAAGCUAAAAUAAUUUUUUGCAAAGUUGGAGGAUUGGAUGAGUCAUUAUGCAUUUAAUUUAUUUCACACUCGACAUGAAUAGUCUACUUAAAUAAAACAUGAAAUAUGAUGAUUUGAUUUUUAAGCAUACUUACAAAUUUAUAUUAUUUUUUAAAUUUUUUAUUUUUAAUAAUUUGUAUAAUUUAAAAAAAUUACAAUUAUUUUAUAUAUUUUUACAAAUUUUAAUGUAUUUCUUUUUAUAAUUUUCAGUAAUUUUUACCACUUUUUAUUAUUUUAAAUAAUUUUUUAUAAUUUUAAAUAAAUUCUAAUAAAUUGAAAAAAACUUAAUUAUUAUUUACAAAUUUUGACAAUUUUCUGUAUAAUUUUUUCAUAUACGUUCUCACUGGCCAAUUUUUUUUUUUUUAAAAGCGGUUAGCUUCUCGGUACAAAAAAUAGAUAAGAAAGCAAAGUUAAGUGCCAAAAUGAAAAUAAAGAGUUUAGGUAUCAAAAUAAAAAAAUAGAUAUAAAUUAAGGGCCAAAUAGUAAAUAAACCCUUGUGUAUUUCUUUACACUUUUAAACUUUAGUGUCUCUCUCUUUCAGUUAUUUUGUUAUUUUUUUCUAUGAGGUUUCUCUCUCCAGAAAAGGGCAAAUACGCUAAAGAGCUAUUUACACCCUCAAAGUAAGGUUUUUUAAUCUUUCCUCUCACUUUCAUCUCUCUUUCCUUUUUUUUUUUUUUGGCCUUCUUUUAUCUCUCAUCACUUUCUCUUUCCCAAACAAAUACUGGAUAAUAGAUAUAUGGGGUCCUAACUCCAUUGUUAAGCUAUUAAUAUAUUUUAUUUUAUUUGUUUAUAUAUAUAUUUGUAUGUUUGUUUGUUUUGAGAGUUGAAGAUUGAAUUUUGAAGCAGGUUUAGGGUUCUUAUGAACUUCCCAAUUUGAAAGCUCAAAAAACAGCAAUAAUGACCCAACCUUUUAUCUAGUAGAUCUGAUUAUGGGUUUUGAUUUAUGGAAUAUUUGGAUACUGGGAAAAUGUGGGCAAAUUAGAACUAAGUUUGAAUCUGAAAGUUUCCGUUUCUGCUGCUUUGGGCUCUUAGAUUUUUUUCCAUUUUAUGCCAUAUGUUCAUUUACUGUGGAUUGAGAUCUUUGGUUUCCAUAAUUUAGCUCAUUGGAUUUUUAGUGUUAGAAAUGUAACAUAUUUUCUCGGGAACCAAACAGAUUAUAUAUCACUCUUUGACUUCUAAAUGCUGUCUCUAUUUGAUCUUUAUUUAGCUUCGUAUGUACUUGGAUCUGUAUUUGAUCUCCCUUCAAUGUAACUGCAGUGCAUUUCUUAUUUGAAGAUUUUCCGAUUUUGUUUUGAUGUUUAUUUUAGGGUUAAUUUAAUUUUUAGUCCCUGAACUUGAUAGUUAGGUUUACUUUGGUACCUAAACUUGGCAACUAUGUCCAUUUUGGUCCCUAAACUUGGUAAAUGUGAAAGUUUGAUAAUGUGGUAUUUUGAGAUUGUGCUGCAUAAUUAAAUCUUGAUGGAAUCCAAGUUCAGAGACCAAAAUGGACUUAGUUGCUAAGUUUAGCUACCUAAGUGGACAAAAAAAGUACAGGUAUCAAAGUGGACCGAAUGUUCAAGUUCAGCGACUAGAAGUUAUAUUAACCCUUAUUUUUUUGAUUUUGUUUCCC